rnacentral:lncRNA from 1 species
AAAAAAAAAAAAAGGUGUUGUUGAUGUUAAUUACUGCAAUCCAUCUACGGCCACCGACGACAAGAAGUAGAACAGAAGUAUUGAAAUAUGUAUUGUAAUUACAGCCAUACAAUAGACAACAGUGGAUAAUGUAAUCCAAAAAUCAGCUCAUAAGUUUUGAUGUGUAAUUGUCUCACAAGUUGCUGUGUUAAGGUUCCUUUGAGCUCUUGAACCCUUCCUCAAUGGUGCCCUUUGGUCCCUGGAGUUUAUCUUUUGAAUGAACACAUUAAUUAGGAAUCUUACAGGAGACAGGUGUGGGACUUCACAAAUAAGUGUAUGUGAUGUCAACUUUUGUAGGACCGGUCUACAAAUAAAUAGGUUUCAUUCCAUGUACAAAGCACAACACUGAAGCAUUUCGGCAGAGUAAAAGGAUUGAUCAAUUAAUCUGCAAUAUCUUCACUGCUAAAGCAGUGUACAAUGUAUGGUUGAUUAUUAAGCUACCAUAAGAUGUUCCUCGUUCCUUCUUUAUGAAAAUUAUCGAAGAUUGAUAUCAAUAUUGCUUUGUUCAAAACAAGAUGCAUUCAUCUCACACAGAUCUUCUGCUCGGCGAAUUCGUCAAAUUGCUGCUAACUUUAGGCCCGCAGAAAGAAGUCAAUGUCUUGUCAACAGAUUACUAGUCUUUGAACCUUUAGUUACUGAGUUCAAGGCACCAUGUGGUGGAGGCUUGAACAAUUUUCAUAAUUUAAACAAGUGUAAAUCAUAACAAAAAUUUGGUAAAACAAAGCCAUAAUUAGCAAGCAUAGUGGCCUACUUCAGUGUAGCAUUGCUGGGAAAUAAGCCAAUUAAAAUUCAUCAAGAGAAAGAAAGAUUUUGAAGAUAAUAAUCGAAUGGUUAUUUGAAAUGGGGGGGGGGCGCACAAUCCAUAUGCCCUUGGAAAUGGAGAGCCCUUUCCUCAUUAAACUGUAAGUCAUCUGUUUCUAAGCUGAUUCUGAGACAGACAGCUAAUUGACAAGAAAGAUCAACUGUUACUUUAAUAAUGGAAUUACACUCAUCACAGUCCUGACCAAUAUGAUUAUCUUCAUUACUUAUAAGCUUUUCUGAGAAAAAAAUUUCCAACACCAAACCUAGGAAAAUAGUUGCAUUACAUAAUCAUCUUUAAAAACUUCACUAGCAUCAGCAUCUUUCUGAUUUAACCAAGGACAGAAAGAAAAUCCAUGCAUGGGGCUAUCCUAAUCCUGCAACUUUUUAAUAGAGGCUACAGUUGCUAAUGGAGUAGCACCACAGCUGUAUUAUCUGAGAAGAAGGCUUAUCUUUGCUUGGUUGCUAUAAAAUUCUCCUAUCUGCACCUUUUUAACCAAGAGAUUAAUUAUGAAGUGCCUUUUGACAAGAGAUUACAAAUAUUACUAUCAGAUAACAAUCUGAAGGAAACAUCACACAUAGCUUUGCCUGAAACAUGUUAAAAACUAAGAGGAUUGAAUGGCCCGGGGGGGGGGGUCCUUUUGAGAUGACCUUAGUAGAAUAUCAUUAUCAUGAAGUAUUAUUCUUGAUUGGCCCAUUAAGAAUUAGUUGGAAACAUAAGCACAUGGAUAUCUAAUAAGUUUUGCAGUUAACUAAGCAACUAAACUUUUGAUCAGCUUUAGUCUUAUCACAGCAACAAAUGAUGACAAGAGAAACAUGAAGCUUGCUAUCAUUAGGUUGCUUACCGUAAAUGGAACCUUAAGAUCUCAUUAGCAUUCAUCACUGAGCUAAACAGUGGUGUCCAAAUGACAUUCACAGCAUGUAAUCAAAGCAUAUUCUGUAAGGAAAAGAUCAGUAACAGUAAUAGCAUUUGAUUUUCAACUUAAAGGGAUGAAGGUAAGGCCCAGCAAGACAAGAUUAUAGUGGAAAUUGACUUUAUUUAGAAGGGAACAUCAUCAAUUAUCAAAAAGCCUCAAGGCCUUUGCUCCAAUGAAAUUAUAUAUAUAUAUAUAUAAAAGCCUUUGUCUGGUUGAGCUUGUCCCAUAUUAGCAUAAUUAGAUGUUUGCUUUUAGCUUUGUAGUGGGAAAUCAUAGUCAACUUUCUUGCCACAUUUACAUCAUUACUUUUCAUUCUGAGGAGGCUGUAUUGCUUGGCAUUUUAAUGCGGGAUGAGUGUGUUGGGGAGGUUUAAUUGGAGCAUACUUAACAGAUUUUGAUUAUACUUGUCUAAUCAGUUCCACACAAAAAGCAGAAAAUUCAUCCAAAAAAACACCAAUACAGAAGCUGACACAUUACCUCUACCAAUAUCUUCAAAUCCAUGUUUCUGUUUGGGCCAAUUUCAAGCUCACUUUCCUUCACACUACUCAAGUGCUCAACAGCCCUACCCAACCAUUCAACACAGAAGCACGACUUGAUACCGAAAACUAGACCUUUAAUUCUUCAUGUGGACUUUUGGGAUACUUUACAUUUUGAAUGUUGAGUCCAAAUAACUACAGAGUUCAGGCCCAGAUGAAAGCACAUCACCACCUGCAUUAUUCUCAAGAAAGACUUUAGACAGUUAACAGCUAGCAAAAAUGAAAAGCAUUUCUUUGGGGAGGAAGGGAUCUGGUCCCCCUUGAACUUUGUCUGCUACCCCAAAAGAAAAAUGCUUUAAUUACUUUAAUUAUCCAAUCCAACCCAUUCUUCUUUGUUUUCUUUUGCUUUCAAGAUAUAAAUUUAAAUGGAAUCCUAAUCAUUCAUUUUGGAUUGAUCAUGUGAUAUACAGUCUGUCAUACACUACUCUUUUUCUCCUUUGCUGCUGCUGUUGCUGUUACACUUUUUUUAGUUUUUUGAUUAUUUGCCAACGGCCACUGUCUUUCCUUUCCUUUUCUUUUUUUCACUUAAUACACAGAAUCACUUAUCAUCAACUUAAUUUUGAAAGGAUCUCUCUUCUCUGCAUCUAGCAAUCCUCAUGGCUACUGAGACUGCACCAUCACAUCAAACUCCUACUUCUGAUCAUGAGGUAUUUAUAUCAUCAUCUUGCCUAUCUUUAAUUCUGAUCAAACUAUUCAUUCCCUCAAAUACUGUUAUACUUGAUCAAACAUAUAUACUUCAUGGGAUUCUUUUAUUCUUUCCCAUAUUUUUACUUUUCAGACUUACCAUAACGAUAUGAUCUUUGAUGUUUCAGUAAGAUCCAUGUAGCGUUUUGUUACCUUCUUUGUUACCCCUGGACUUCCAUGAACGUUUUACAUGAUCAUAGGUUUAGCUUAUCUGACUGUAUGGGUAAUCAAAAGACUUCUGAUUGCUUUUAGAUAUCAUCCAUGAACGAUUGAAUAAGGGUAGUUUUAGAUGCAUGUCUCACUCUAUUUACUACUGUAUCAGAAGCUUUGAGAAGUGUCUGUAGUUGACAGGACAGAAAAAAGAAGAAGAAGAAAAUCUCUUUUUGAAUGUGCCCCCCCUUUCAUAAUUCUCUGGAAAAUAAAUGAUAGCUUUCUUUUAUAUAUCAAUCAUAAGUCUUAAGUUGAGUUGGAACAUACAGUACCAUCUUCUGAAAUCUGUUCAAAGCUACUGUCACUCUAAAGUUGCUAGUUUAAGAAUAUAUAAGAUAUUUCAUUUUAAGAAAAUUAAUCUCAUGGCAAUAAAAUACCAAAAUUAUAAUGGAAGGUAGUAGUCCUGCCCCAUCUUAUUGCAUAAGCUGUCGAGUAGGAUAUGAAUUCUCUAACAUGGUGGCUCCCUUCUGCACUUGUCUCAGCUUGUCACUUGCUUGGUUCUGCCAUCAAGGCUCUUUUAAACCAGCAAGGAACCUCCUUUUCCCGGUUUGCGAUGGGGACAGGAUAUUCAUAUCAUUAUUUAAGAAUUUCAACUUACAAUAUCUAUAUCUAGAUGCCAUGGUCAAUGAGGGAGAUAGAGAUAUAAUAUUUGCAGUGCUUUAAUAAGUUUACGUAGCAGUGCAUGACAUCUUUAUUUCAAUUUCUUCAUAUUUGAUUACAGUUUUCGCCAUCUUUUUACUUGUGCAUCUACACGAUAGUUUCUACUCUCUCUUUUUUUUGCUUUUAAAAUAUAUAAGAAUGUUCCUAUUUAAUUUUCUAGUUCAUUUCUUGCAGUCAAUUGAGAACAAGGUGACCGAAGAAGUAAAGCCUGUAGAACCUGAAACUGUUUCCCUAGCCGGGAAACCUGAAGAAGAAGACCUCCAACCUAAUGAACUAGCAAGUCAACCAACCCUGUUAGAUAAAUCAGAAGCAGUGGAAGAUAAGGAGGUCGAGCCUCCAGCAGUUGUGGUUAAGAAGAUUGAUGGUGUUCCUGCUAUCAAUGUUCCAGUAGAUGAUAAAAAAGAGUUGGAAAAGGAUUCUAUUUCUGACUCACACACACCUAGUGUUCCGGCUCUGGUGGCCGAUGUUGUUAAUGGCGAACCAGUUGCUCCAGCUAUACAUUCUGUUUUGAAAGAAGCAGAAGAGCAACAAUUAUCAACAUCCGUGGAGGAAUUGCUACAGGAAAAACCAAAGAUGGUUGAUGUUCCAGUAUCACUAGAUGAAGCUAUUGCAAAAACAGAGGAGCCAUCAAAAGUUCUUCCUAUCAAAGAGUCCGAACCAAUUGAGGCAAAAGACAGUGAAGAUUCAGCAGUGUCUAAAGAAGUUGACAAAGUGGAAUCAAUAAUUCCUGAAGUUGAAGUGAAACUAGAGGAGCAAUCAGAAGUUGGUAAACAAGUUGAAGAGCCAAAAACAGAAGCAGCAACUAAGCAACCAAAGGAACCUUUGGAAGUUCUUCCUGUCAAAUCAGAAGCAGUUGCGGUAAAAGAUAGUGAAGAUUCACAACUAGUGUCCAAAGAAGAUGAUAAGCCAGAAUCAGAAGAACAAUCCGAAGUCAUUAAAGUUGAACCCAAAGAAAAAUCAGUUGAAGUAAUUGCCGAAACACAGGAGCCAGUGGAAGCUCUUCCUACCAAAGAAUUGGAAGCAGUUCAAGUAAAAGAUAUUGACGACUCACAAGAAUUGUUUAAAGAAGCUGAUAAAGUAGGAACAAUAGUUCCUGAACUCAGGGAAGUGAAACUAGAGUCUGAAGUCACUGAACAUGUAGAAAAAACCGACGAACAAUCUGUUGAGGCAAUUAAGGAAACACAGGAUUCAUCGGAAGUUCAUCCAAUCAAAGAAUCAGAAGCAGUUCCAUUAAAAGAUAUUGAUGAUCUAGUAGCAGUGCCUGGAGUUGAUAAACCACAACCAGUAAUUCCUGAAGCUGAUAAACCUGAACCAGUAGUUCUUGAAGUUGAGGUUAAACAAGAGGAACAAUCUGAAGUCACUCAACAAAUUGAAAAACCAGAAUCAGUGGUUCCUGAGACUGAGGUGAAACUGGAGGAACAAUCUGAAGUCACCAAACUAGAUGAAAAAACAAAGGAACAAGAAGUUGAGGUGAAACCCGAGGGACAAUUUGUAAUCAGAAAACAGGUGGAACAAUCUGAAGUCGCUGAACAAAUUAAAAAACCAGAAUUAGUGAUUCCCGAGAUUGAGGUGAAACUGGAGGAACAAUCUGAAGUCACCAAACUACAUGAAAAAACAGAAGAACAUGAAGUUGAGGUGAAACCUGAGGGACAAUCUGUAAUUAGAGAACAGGUGGAACAAUCUGAAGUCGCUGAACAAAUUGAAAAACCAGAAUCAGUGAUUCCUGAGAUUGAGGUGAAACUGGAGGAACAAUCUGAAGUCACCAAACUAGAUGAAAAAACAGAAGAACAUGAAGUUGAGGUGAAACCUGAGGGACAAUCUAUAAUCAGAGAACAGGUGGAACAAUCUGAAACCGCUGAACAAAUUGAAAAACCAGAAUCAGUGAUUCCUGUGACUGAGGUGAAACUAGAGGGACAAUCUGAACUCACCAAACUAGAUGAAAAAACAGAGGAACAAGAAGUUGAGGUGAAACCUGACGGACAAUCUGUAAUCAGAAAACAGGCAGAACAAUCUGAAGUCGCUGAACAAAUUGAAAAACCAGAAUCAGUGAUUCCUGAGACUGAGGUGAAACUGGAGGAACAAUCUGAAGUCUCCAAACUAGAUGAAAAAACAGAGGAACAUGAAGUUGAGGUGAAACCUGAGGGACAAUAUGAAGUUAGUGAACAGGUUGAGAUUAAGUCAACAGAUGAAAAGCGAGGACAAGUUGCUGCAAUCACUCAGGUAGCUCAAGCUGAGAUUAAAGAGGAUGGAGGAAAAUCUUCUCUUCCUGAAAUCAUACAAAAAGCUGGUCCAGAGGCUGAAGGGACUGAUUUGGCUGAAGCGUCAUUGAAAGAGAUUGUGGUAGAAGCGGAAAAGGGUAGAGAAGAGAAAGAGGCAAGGACAAUAAAAGCAGAGGGCGAGAAAAUAGCAAGUGAUACAGUAAAAGAGGAACUAGCUCAGCCCAUCAAAGUGGAAGAGGUCAGCAAUGCUGCUUCAAACGCCAAAAUCACUGAAAAAUCGUUUGAGGGAGAGAAAACAGUUGAAAGUGUUGAACCAGCUUUAGAAAACAAGAAAGAGGAGAUACCUGCAAUAGAUGAAACCCACAAAGAUGGGACCAUAGAGGGAAAGCUGGAUGAAGCCACUACAGUUGUCAGUGAACCAGUCAAAGAAUCCCAAGAUUCUGUGUCAGAAGCAAAAGAAGAAGAAGAAACUGCAAAAACCAACGAAGAGAACUCUGAGCAGGAAAAGGUUGACGAGAUUGCCAAAUCUGACACGCAGAAUUUAGAGUAUUCUACCCAGGAUGCUGAAGACGCAAAAGAAUCACAGGAUCUGCCAAGAGAAGUUCCAGCCAAGCCUACUCAAAAGCAUUCAAACAACAUUUUAACAAGGGUAAAGCAAUCACUUGUAAAGGCAAAGAAAGCUAUUAUCGGGAAAUCCCCAACUCCAAAAACCGUCUCCUCUGAUAGCAAGGGUGAUGUUAAAGUCAAUAAUUGAAGGGAUCUUAAUGACAAAGCUUGCAUAUACUUACAGAGAUAUGAAAUCUUGCAUUGUGAAGUAUAUAGGUGUGUAAAAAGGCAUUUUCUUCCAUUUGUUUUCUCUAUUCAUUCAGUUGUAUGUAAUGGUAUAUGAUAGUGUGCUGGUGAUUGGUGUGUUGUUGGGUUUGAUGAGUAGAAAAGAGCUUUUCAGUCAAAUUUAUGUUAGUGUUGUCAACAAUACUAUCUCAUCAAAAUUAUGUACUCAUUGAUAAGAUUGAUUUGCGUAUUUGAUUAAAUAAUGGUUUGGAUUCUUUUGUAACUUUUACACAUGCCAACUAGUGGAAUAGAUUCACUUCUCUUUAGGCAAAAUUCCAUCACCCUUUUUUACCAAGAAACUGAAAGAAAAGGAAGAAAUGGAGGCAAGGGAGGAUGAAACAUCGAGUGAGAACCUCCAGCUAGGUAAAUACCAAUGGUUGUCUCCCCAUUUAAAUUGGCUUUUCAGGAUUUUGAGCAGAGGACUUAGAACUGGUUCUAGCUCAUUCAAGAGCUAAUGAGACUCUGCACAUUUUAUGCGUGGUGAGACGUGUCUCACUGAAGCUGACAUCGAAACACCAGUCACUACGAAGAACAAAGAUAUUGAAGAUUCAUGAGUCCACUAUGAUGUAGAGAUGCCAGAAAAUGAAAGAUGUUAAAAUGCCUGCUAUUCAGAUUCAGAUGAGGGGGUGGGGACUAUAAACCGAACCGGAACAUCUAGGUUUACACAAUUCAGUUUUUUUCAUCAAUUUGGUUCAGUUCAAUUUAAGAAAAAUCGAACUGAAUAAAUCAAACAAACCAUUUGCAAAACCCUAAUCACAUUUUCCAUCUUAUUGCUAGCUAUUCUUUGUGCAUGCUCACAGUGAAAUGAUAGGGGGAGUGAGAGAGGUACUGGAAAAUUAAGUAUUUUUUCAUUAGUUCAAAGAAUUUGUAUGAGAGAUCUACCACAACAAACUUUCAAAUACAUAUUUCUUGAGUUGGCUUGCUCCUAGACAGUGCAUUAUUAUUUGCUCAGGUUGUGUAAGUAAAUAUACAUACAGAUGCAAGUAAGACCGUUCUUGAGUUUCCUCAACAUACCAAAAUCUGUGCAAUUGUAAUUCUACUUCCCUGAAAUUAGAACUCCAAUAAUUAUUGUAAGAGCUCGACUUCAUUAAACCAUGGAACCUUUACACAUAUUCAUAUGUGCCCCCAGUAUCCCACAGAUUUACCGCGUACAAUAAUAGGUUCAACGUUGAUAUGAAGCAAAGGUGAUUCACCUCUCCAAUGACAAAGCAUCAGACCUAUCAAUCAGUCACAACCUGCAGCAAAUUCAAGUUGACAAAAAUCUUUUAUCUCUACAAACCAGAUUAAGUAGAUCUCACAACAAUGUUAAGUACAGCCAACCAUCAUAGACGAAUACUCACCAGUUGCUCUACUAGGUGUGAUGUCAGUUCCACCAGCUGACUUCAACACUCCACUUUCAGCAACUUCUGAGCCUUCACCAUUAUUUUGCGCAAAAGCAGGCUGUUCAAAACAUUCAUUUGUUGCUUGGCACUGGCAUCACGGAUGAUGUAACUAAUUUUAGAUUCAGGUUCAGAGGUAAUUCAAUUGCAGAACUCAGUUUUCUGAAAGGUUACCCCAACUAUGAAAAUUAACAUAUAAUGAAUUCAAUAGGAUAUCGUGCCCAAAUUUACAUUCCUUCAGACAAGCUAAAUGCAUAAUUUUCUGUGGCUAUGACCUCUUCCACUUAACAAAAAAAUAUUCAAGUAUCUGCAUAAUAUUUCUUUGCUAUUGCACUUGUAUAUUUUUCUCGGCCUUCUUGGCUAGUAGGGAGGUUAAGAACAUGGAACUCUAAAUGACGUCUACUAUUUGAAACAUGCCCACAAUCUUUGAACAUAAAUUGGAGAGAUGAAAACUACAGUUUGAUAUUCAUUGGAAGAAAAGGCUGUUUGGAGAGUUGUAAUUAAGUUCUUCCUUGCGAAUUUCAGUAAAAAAUGUUUUCCUUGGGAAUAUCCUUCACGAAUGAAAAUUAAUUAGAGUGAUCAGCAUAAUUUUCAUUUUCAUGGGAUGAUGGGUGAAGAGCUACAUCUUUAAAGACAAAAAUAGGAUUGUAUAUGGAGAAUUUACUUGUUUCAUGCUUAUAUGAAUGUCAUACUUGCAAUUUUCCAUAAUGCUACUUUUAGAUGGAAUUCAUGUGUGCACCUAUAGCUAAUGCUUUCUUUCUCUUGGGAGUGAAGAUGAGCCAUGAAUUGGCACUUGCUGAAAGGAAAACACACAUCAUGCAUCAUAAUGAAAUCAAAAUCCAUUUAGCCAUCUUCAAUACUGAGCUUUUCAUUCUCAUAGAAAAACGCAGCUUGGUUAAGUAACAAACCUGACUAGAGGUCUGAUUCAUUGACCUAUUGGCAACAUUGUUCUGCAUCACUUGCGAGUUGAUAUUCUGAAUUGCAUCCUUUGAACUAGAGGCUGUAGCUGAAUCCAAAUUAUCCAUAGGACCUACCACCCCACAAGCAUUUGGUUCCCUGUUUGUUUUCGGAGGAGGCCCUCCAGACAUUGGCAUUAAGGGUGCACGAGGAAAUGACAUUGGAAGUCCUUGACCAGAAAGCCCAAACAUCUGAAGACUAGGUCCUCCCAUCCCGUGCAAAGCACUAGGCCCUGACAUUUGCGAGCCAGGGAAAUGUGCUCCAUGCAUAGGAGGUACUUGAUACAUAGGGCAACCAGAAUAUCCACCAUUCAUGUCAGGCAUACCCAUCCGGAAACCCAUUCCCAUUCCAACACCCAUGGGUAAGAACUGCCCCAUAUGAGCUGCAUGCAUGUGAGGCAUUCCAGGAGGUAACAUCAUUGAUGGCAUGUACAUUCCAGCUCCCAUUGACAUAAUCUGCAUAAAGGUGGCGAGUGAUCCAAAAAAGUCAUUUGAUUAUCCAACUCAAGAAGUUAUUAAAUAAACUUUGAGAAGAAAGGGCAGAAUUUACUUGUACUUGAAGCUGAAGAGUCUUUAAAUAUUCAAUGGCCUCAUCAAGCAUUGAAGCUUUAUCCACCUUAUAAUGCAAAAACAUCAAAGUCAACCAAAGCAAAGAUGCACAUGAAAUUAUCUACACUUAAUUACUUGGCUUCACUCAAACUCCAUUAAAAUUUCCUGGAUAACAGCAACAAGUUCAACUUAAGAAAUUCAAGGAAAGCUUAGACUAACAUAAAACUCUAGAACCUGGAAUGGAUAAGCUUCAUUUAUAGUUUUGGAACUUCAAUAAACAUGAACAAACUUAAAAGAAUUAAUUAGAUUUCAAUCAGGCCAAGGUUUGGUGUAGGUUUAACUCCCAAGCCUUGGUGUAUGUUUGAAUCCUUGAAUUUUAUAGAAAACCUCAUUUUCAUAAGAUCGUGGAGAAAAUUCACUGAGAAACAUAAAUAUGAAUAUCCAACCUUAUUGCAGUUUGGUAUGAGUUCUUGUAGGGCUCGCAUCUUCUCAUUGAUCCUAUCCCUUCGCCUCUGUUUAUUCAAUUCCAAAUGAAAACCAAUCAAGAUACAAUAAUUCAUAGCUGCCAAAGAAAACAUCAAAAGCAAUUCUAAAGAAAUGUUGGAAUGUUCUUGCCCACCCUUUCAGAUAAGUUAUGAACUUCUGCUGCCCGACCUCUCUUGGACCCAUUACCUGCUCGAGCAGAAGCUGGUUUUUUUGCACCUACUGAUUCUUCUUCAGCAUCCUGCACAUAGAUUAUUUCCUUGGUUCAUGGAAGAAGGAGAUAUAGUCUCGGAAGAGCAAAAAACAUUGAAAAUAUGUGAAACCUAUGUAUGAAACUCACUUCACUAGGACCUUCAGACUCCUCAGUAUCACGAUGUUUUCUCUUCAGAUUCUCAGUUGGAUCGUCAGAAGGUCUCUCUGCGCUAUUGCCCGAACCAACAGAAGAAGAAGCAACCAGAGGUUCUGUAGUCUUUUCAACAUCUUCUAAUCCUUUAAUUGCACUUUCACCAAAAUUUUGAUGACAGUUUCUAUCGCUUUUAGAGUCACCUUCUUGGCUCAUUUCCUCAGGUAGCUCAGCAGGAACAGAUCCUUCAGCAGGCUUAACCUCUGUUGGUUUAACCUCAACCUUGGAUGACAUCAUAUUAGGACGGCAAUGGGAGUCCGUUUCCUUUGGUAAACCAAUUGAGCCCUUAUCUUUAUUUUGCAUUCUUUCCAUGCUUGAAGUUCCAGAACUAGCUCUCAUGCCAACGUUCUGAAGAUUAGCUUUUACAAGAGCAGCUGGUCUUGCAAAGUGAGAGAAAUUAAUUAAACUGGAGUUGAUAGGGGAUGGUGCUGGAACUUGCUUCUGCAUCUUUAUGCUGGGAAAACCACCUCCUGAUGUUGGAGCUCGAAUAGAAUCUGGUGCAAUGACAUGGUGGACAGCAUUGCUUGUACUAUCAUCUUUUUUAGUUGAAUCCCUGGAUCUAAAAAACGGAAAUGAUGUUUUGCAUUGCUCAGAAGAUGACGGAUAUAACUGACUAGCACUGGUUCUAGGCCUCUUAGCAUCAAUAUCUCCUGCUGAAGAAUUCAUCACCACAUCUCCUUGCUCUAAGUUCAAACCAUUGUGUACCGAAACAGUAUGGGAGUCCGUAAUUGACUGGUUACAACUUCUUUUAUCAAACGAUGGAAAAUUACUCUGGGAGGAGUGUUCAUUUACAGUAACCCCCGAUAAUUCGGGCAAAAAAUCAGAACAAUAAUCAUGUUGCAGAGGUUCAUCCAAUGGAUAAUUCAGCCAAGGUACCAUGUCAUCAUCUUGAUUCGCCCUCACUUCAACAGCAGGAACCGCAAGGAGUUCAUUCAGUGUAGACUCCAUCGUUCCAAACUUACCUGUUUUAGUAUUGGUGCCAUUUCCUAUGUCUUUAUCUCUAAUCUUGGGAGGUAAGCUGUUACAAGUUUGUAUCUUUCUAGCUCUACUGUAUUGAAUCUGACCAUUUUCCCAUAUUAGCUCACCAAAAUCAUUCUCAGGUCUGCUUUAAAGGAUACCAAAAGACACAAGAAACGAAAGGAAACCAGAAAGAAAACAUUUCAAUGUAGAGAUGAUCCACUAAUCCAAGAUAAAGAAGCUAAAUAAAUAAGUUAAAUUGAAACUUACACAAAAGACAGAUCAGUUGAACAAGCAGGAUUCUUCUCUUGAGAAGAAUCAGUUUUUCCCUUAGCCAUUCGGUAUAGGAGCUCAGACAAAGGCAUGGUGAAGGUUGUUGGUUAGCAACGCUUCUGCUCAGUAAGAAAUGCCCUCAAAGUUCAAUUAUUUGGCCAUUUCCGGCACUUUUUGGAAACCUCUCUUGAACUCCAGCACAAGCUCAAAGAACCCAAAAACUAUAUGGAGCCGACAAGAGUUUCAAGACAUGAAAAGCUUGACAAGAACCCCCAUGAGUACAAGAUAAUCCCAGUUUGUAUGCAACUCACAAAAGAAAUAAAAGAAAAGAGUGCUACUUUUUUUCAGUUACAUAAUUUGACAGAACAGAAAAUAAUCGUUCUUUUAUUCUAACGUCCUUAACACCAGUGAGUUAGAUAUAUAAAUAAACAAACAAACUAUAAAUUAACCAACAGUUUCACAUAAAGUAGCAGUCAAAAAACCUAUUUUUUAAUGGCUCUCUCAAAGAUUCAAAAACCCUCCAAAUUAAGCUAUUUUAAACAUAUUUUAGAUUAAAGAAAUGAUCUUUUCCACUUCUUUAAUCAUUAAAUUUGAAACCAACAAAAACCCAGAUCAGAUUUUGGAAAUUAAUUAACUUUAUCAGUCCACAUGAAAAGAAAAACCCCAAAAGGGAGUAAUACACUGGAAACUUGAAGAACAGCUCAAGACACUCCCUACCUAGGAACCAACCAAUGAACUGGAACGCAAAUAAGUAGAAAAGGAAGAGAAUUUUUAGAAAAACUGAGCUCCUCGAACUAGUAAAAAGUUACACUAAUCCAAAUGCAUUAAAAAUGAGAGAACUUAGCUGUGCAAAUCAUAUCAUACCCCUGGGACAAUUAUAGAAGUUACCACAAGAUUGUAUGUUUAAAAAUUUGAGCUCCAAGAAAAGAACUCAAAAUCGCAAGAGACAGAGAGGGCAAGUGGACGCAGAAGACGCGAAAGGCUGGCAGAGAUGGCAGGGGACAGAGAUAAAAAUAAACAACAAACCUUGUGCUUGUUCAGCUUUUAAAGUUUAACCUCUCUAUUUCUGGUUCUUCCUUCCUUCCUUCCUUUAACUACUGUUAGAAUUCAAUAUUCUUAUUCCUUUUUUUUUUUUAUGACCUUCUAUGUUCUUUUCUUUACUUUUUUGAUUUUUUAUAAAAUUAAUAAAAUAACACACUUUGGUUCUAAUGGUGGCUUUGUAAGAAGUCGAGAUUGAGAAAAUCACUUUUAACAAAAUUGUUAGAAUAAACGGGCACAAAUUUCAAAGGAAAGAAGGAAAAAAAAGAUCUCAUAGAUAUAUUAAUAUUUAUUAUCUGAUUAUACCAUGACCUAUCUAAGAAAAUAUCUGGAUGAAAUUAUCUUAUUAAAAACUAAAAAAAAGUUACCAACGAUGAUUAUAAUAUUCCAUACGAUCUUUAUUUAAACACAAGUGAGAAAUAACAAAAGAAAAAAACUCCUUAAAACACACCGAACUUUUCCACGGUAUUCAACUUCACAAAGAAGAACGUUGUCCUUUACGAUUGAGAUUUAAAUAUUGGGUUAAGCUUGAAUAUUGCCACAGAUUUCUUAUUAUAAUAAAAAGUAGCGAAUGAUAACUUUAGUUACAUUACACAAAAACUGAUACCAAUAGGACUAGCUAGCUGCUACACACACGCACACAUGUAGGUUAAAUUGUUUAUGAGUACAAGGAGGGCAGGUGAUUUGGGCAAUUAGGGUAGGUUCUUCUUGUUAGGAUUUGAAAGCUGCGGUGCUCCUGUAUUUUUCAUGGUUGUUUUUCAAAGAAAUUUAUAAAAAAAAAGCAGGUUAAACAUAUGAACACCAACAGCAACAUAUCAUCUUGUUUAUAUUAUUAUAAUAUGCUAUCCUGCAAUAGGAGUUGUGGGCUUUUUAUGUUUGUUUUCAUAAUGGAAAGCAGCAGCAGCAUAUCUACAUCAUUAUAAUAUAUAUUAAACCGAGGGAGGGCCCCUUCAAUAAUAGGGUUUUGAAAAUUAUGCCUCCGGAGGAUAAAUAAAGCCAUCAAGGUUUUGAAAAUCAUGCCUUGGAGGAUUAAUAAAGCCAUUGACUUUAGGCAUGAUAGCUCAAAUGGCCUUCGUGCUGGGUUCGGACUCUUGUGUGGCAGUGGAGGAUGUGAUCUUGGCACUCCAAUAAUGUAAGAGAAUGACAUUUGGUUUUACUUUAUUUAAAAUUCAUCCAUAUGUGAUAUUGCUCUCUCUUAUCAUGUUGAGAGGAUUGCCCUAAUUAUUAAAGCCAAAAAGGAGUCUAAAGGUGAAUUACAUCUCACCUUGAGAUCUCCGCUCAUGGAUUAACUUCAUGAUUAGUUCUCCAUGAACCAAAUCUAAGCUGAACCUCUUUGCUUUGAUUAUGGUAAUCAAUCAGAUUAUCUCUGCUGCUGCCCUCUCUACCAGACACCACAGCCAUGAUCUCUCCUAAUGGGGUCAGGAUCGGCGCCAUUGAACUAGAUGUGUUGUAAUCUAUCAUCACGAACAGCACCUAGCUAGCUUAGUCCACUAAAUUUGAUUUAGAUAUGGGUGUAGGGCCACCAAACCCUAAAAUUAAAAAGGAAAAGAAAAGGAGAGAGUGUUGUUUGCUAAAACUAAAAGGGGGGGGGGGAGAGAAGGAUUGAAGUGGGAUAACUUAUCAAGCAAACCAAGAUCAAUUUAAUAUAUUAGAAUUGAAUUUUUCUUAUUCAACCAUAUAUCAUCAUACAUACUGAUUCGUAUUUUCAUUUAACCUGCAUCUCAAUCGAUAUUAAUUACAUACUAUAUAUUAUUAUUAUUGACAAGGCAUUGACCCAAGAGGAGGCCUAAAUCUUCGUCACAGGAUUAAUGAAUUAAUUAGGGAUAGAACAGAGGCCGAACUUAGCGUACAAGGUGAUGAAAUUAGAUGCGAGAGAGCACGAGGAUGGGAAUACUGUUCAUUUUAUUUAUUUAUUGAUUUAUUAUAUAUCUUCCCGACCCCGGUAGUGAAAUGGUAUUUGUCCACGUGGACCGGUGCAGAACCAGUGAAGGGAUUCGGCAGUGUUUCAGUGGACCCCCAGGUUGUAGCCAGCCACCAGGCUCGGAACUGUGUGAGCACGUGUUGUUUGGUUUAUGAGUGUCCUGUGUCCAUGACCAUAUAUAUAUUGACAGCCACCAUUAAUUGACACGUUGCUUUCAUAGCAGCACCAUCACUCUCUUCGUCGUCCUAGCAACAUCAUCACUAGUAUGUAUGUAUGUGCGUGCUUUGCCCCCCCUCGAGCACCUGCCGUCAUAUGUGCUAAGGGCACGUCGGAGAUGACUCGAUCCACCGAGUAGAGUAGAGUAGAGUUGUGGGAGGAUCUAUCAGCUUUAGCUCACCCAAUCAGCAGCAGGAGGAUUUGAUCUUCGACUGCCACCACUCAUCUGCUUAUUGAAGUAAUGACAGCAAAGCAACAAGUGGCCGGCCCUGCUCUAGCUAGAAUAAAGAGCCCAUUGUCCUUCGAAAACCCCUACUUCCUAGGUCCCUGCUCCUUUCCCUUUCUUGUACUGCUGUCUCAAGGUUGCAUCUGAUCCUGGUGGUGCGAGAGCAUAUCUUCAAAUAACUUUUUUUUUUUUUUAAAAAAAAAAAAAUAUAUAUAUAUAUAUAUACACACACGUAUUAAAAUAAAUUAUUUUCAUUUUUUUUAUUUUUAAUAUCAUUCUAUCAAGAUCAUAAUAAAGCACUAAAUUAUAUAAAUUUAAUAUUUCUUCGUGUUCAAAAAUGUUUUUACAAACACACACCUAAAAGAAGAAUAAAAAACAAUGUAAAACACCAUCUCAAUAAGGGAAAAAUUGAAAGAGUCUUGCAGCCGCCAUUGUACAUUUCUUCUCUGCACAUUGCAAUUCUGCGGACAUCCACAUUCUCAGUUAUAGCUGUUUGGUCUUAUUAUAAUAGUUGUUGUUUUAAAUAAUUUUUAUUUAAAAAUAUAUUAAAAUAAUAUAUAUAUAUAUAUAUAUAUUUUAAUAUAUUUACAUUAAAAUAAUUUAAAAACUUAUAAAAAUUAAAUUUUUUUUUAAAAAAUAGCUAAGCUGCAAAAACAAACUGUCCCUCGGCUGCGAUGACCCAUAACUUAUUAAUAUUAUGAAAUUCUUGUGUCAUAUCAUAAGGUGAAACUCAAUUUUUUUUUUUUUGUGUUUUAAAAAUAUUUUUUUAAAAUAAAAUUUUUAUAUAUCUUUUAUUUUAAAUUAAUUUUUUUGGAUAAUUAUAUAUUAUUUUGGUGUGCUGAUAUCAAAAAUAUAUUUUAAAAAUAAAAAAAACAUUGUUUUAAUAAAUUUUCAAGUGAAAAACACUUUAAAAAAAUAAUCACUACCACAAUAAAUAAAUAAAAAACAGGCCAUAAGCAAAUGACAAUAUUAUGGAAACAUUUUUCUUAAUGAAUAAAAAAAAAACAGAAGAACUAAAACACAUAAUAGUGUUACGAGGGACAUCCUGAGUUAAGUAAACUAUAUAAUAAAGGAAAUGCUGUGGCCAGCACUAGUGUUGUAGAGAUACGAGAAGUAGAAGAUAAUGUAAAAUAAUACCAAGUGACCACCCACCCUUCCUUUAUAGAAUGCUUUCUUGGCUGUGGAGCCUUAUAAAUUGCUCGCUCUCAUAGCUCCUCCUCCUGGCAGGACCAUUCCCAGCAGCAAUCUGCACAUGACCACUCCUCCCAUGUAGUGGCGUGGCAGGACCACUAUCUACUAUUAUUAUUUUCUUAUAUUAUUUCACUGUGUAUGUGGGUGGAGCUACCAGCACCAGAACCACAGUUCCACGGCCCUAUAAACAAGAACGACCGACUUCCUACUAUAUUUUAUGCUUCCUUUUCGCGUCAUGUAACACCGCUGGACCAAGCAUAUAUAUUUCAAAUAAUUUCUCUCCCAUUAAAAAAUAAAUAAAAACACUGGUGUAGUCAGGCAGGAAAAAAAAGAGGUGAAGGUCAAAUGCAAUUAGAAGAGGUGAAGGUCAAAUGCAAUUAGAAUAUAUAUAUAUAUAUAUAUAUAUAUAUAUAUAUAUAUAUAUAUAUAUAUAGGCAGUCAGAUUCAAAAAAAAAAAAAUUGAUUAUAUCAAACCAUCAAAGUAGCAUUAAUUAAGCUGAACUCUAAUGGAGAAGGUACGUAUAAGAGGAGAUCUGAUGAUUGUAAUUAGUUGAAUUCUAAAUGACUGACCCUCGGAUUAGACAUUAAAAAUGUUAUUUAAGCAUAUAUUCGGUGCUUAAAUAUAUAAGUAUUUAACCAUUAUAUGUGGUUUUGAACUCUAAAGGAACAUAUAAUUAAUGCAUAUUAUGUUUUGUUAUUACUUUUUUUAGAUUAAUCUGUUUCCUUUUAGAUUUUUUGUUAGUUUAUCUUUUUGUUGAGGGAUUAUGAUUAUUUUUCUUGUAAAUCUAUUAAAAAAACAUAUCUCAUAUAUAAUACUUUAUUUUCAUGAAUAAAACUUGGGAUUCUUGUGGAAUAUAUAACCCUACAUAUAUAUAUAUCUUAGUCAAACUCUAUCUUUCUUGCCUCUUGUCUCUUUGUUUGUGCUCCCAUAUUAACCAUCAAAAGAAUAUCUAUCAUAAACUUUAUACCAUCAAGUGCAUUAAUUUGGCUGCUUUUAUAUAUAUAUAGACACGCUAAAAUUAUAUAAGUAACACCAUAGCAAGCACACAUUUGUCUUUGUUGAAGCAUGCUGGGAGAGAGGAUCCACCUUAUUAAAUUAUAAUAGCCCGGCCAUGCCGUAAUAUUAAUUAUUUUCAGAAGGUAAUAAGAUUGAUUAAUUAAGCACUGCGCUAGCUGACGAACUAAAAAUCUGGCAGAGAUAACUGCUAAGUGCUUAGCUAGCACAAGUGCAUAAUUAAUAAACAAGAAGAAGAUCGAUCAAGCACGCGCGCGCGCAGAACAUAAUAUGCAUGUCACCUGGAUUUUAUAUAUAUCAGCAACAAAGAAGACAAGAGGUUUAUAUAUAGACGACGAGAUGUCUGGACCAAAAAGGAUUGUUAAAAACGAUGGGUCUUGGCAGGUUUGCCUGCCCACACAGCUGCAUGUUAUUUCUCUCUAUAUAUGUGAUGAAUCUUGAAGGCAAUGAAGAGAGAAAGAUGUGUAGAAGAAGAGUUACAGAAAUAUGUUUUCUUAAAUUAAACGAUACUGUUACAUCAUGGUCUUAUAUAUAUUACAAUCCCUUAUUCAAAAAUUCUAUCAUUAAGAAUGCAAUGAAUGAUAAGAUAUGCAUUUAAUUCCUAGAAUAUCCGUUACAGAUAUGAUUACAAGUAUCUUCAGUAUCAGUAAUCUCUUGUGCAGAUAUGAUCAGAGAUCAUGAUUAUCUUCAGUAUCAGUGAUCUCUGAUCAUAAUCUCUUCAAUAUCAGAGAUCUCUAAUUAUGAUAGUAAUCCCUGAUCAUGAUUAUCUUAAGUAUCAGUAUUAUCUUCAGUAGAUAUGAUAUUAUCUUCAGUAUCAAUAAUCACUAAUCAUUAUUAUCUUCAGUAUCAGUAAUAAUCUCUUGUGCAUAAAUGAUCAGAGAUCAUGAUUAUCUUCAGUAUCAGUGAUCCCUGAUCAUGAUAGUAAUCCAUGAUCAUAUUUAUCUUCAGUAUCACUAUUAUCUUCAGUAGAUUUGAUAAUAUCUUCAACACGCCCCCGCAAUCUGAACGGGAGGUUACGAACAUUGAGAUUGGAGCACAGAAGAUUGAACCGUGCAGCACAGAGUGGUUUUGUAAGGAGAUCGGCUAGCUGAUCACGACUAGACAAAAAAUUGACAGUCAAUUUUUUUUUAGAAACAAGAUCUCUGACGAAGUGAAAAUCAAUCUUGAUGUGUUUUGUGCGUGCAUGAAACACUGGAUUGGAGGAUAGAUAUGUGGCACCAAUAUUAUCACACCAAAGAGUGGGACUUUGAGAUAGGUGUAAACCAAGUUUUGUAGAUAAAAAUUGUAACCAUUGGAGUUCAGCUGCAGUGUCUGCGAGGGCCUUGUAUUCAGCCUUGGUACUGCUACGAGCAAUUGUAGCCUGUUGUUUGCUACGCCAGAAAAUUAAAUUUGAGCCAAGAACACAUAGUAGGCACCAACAGAUUGACGAUCAUCUGUGUCCCCUGCCCAAUCUGCAUCAGAGAACGCCUGGAAUAUGAAGGAGCUGCUACAAGACAAUAGUAAAUAGUAGGAGAUGAAGUGUUUGAGAUAGCGCAUGAUUCUCUUUACACAUAUCCAGUGGGACUAUUUCGGUUGAUGCAUGGAUUUGCUAACGUGAUGAACGACGAAAGCAAUAUCAGGCUGAGUGGAUGAGAGAUAAUGAAGGCCGCCAACAAUGCUUCUGUACAGGGUAGGAUCAUCAAAUUAUGCAGUAUCAGUUGCUGUCAAUGCCAUAGUGGUGGAUAUUGGAGUGGAACACGACUUGACACCAUCCAUUUUGGAUUUUGUAAGAAGAUCAACAAUGUAUUUGCGUUGAGUGAGAUAGAGUCCUGUAGUAUCACUUAUAGCUUCAAUGCCUAAGAAAAAACUGAGAGGGCCAAGAUCAGUGAUAGCAAAUUCCUUAUGUGAAUGAUAUAUGUGAUAACAACAGCAACAACAUUAGAACCAGUGAUGAUAAUGUCAUUAACAUAAAUGAGGAUGUAUAUGAUGCUAGAGGUGUCAGUGUGCACAAAGAGUGACAAGUCUGCCUUGCUGCCAACAAAGCCGAAUUGUAUCACACAGCAACAAAACGGGAAAACCACUGGCGAGGCACCUGUUUAAGGCCAUAUAAGGAGCGUUUGAGCUUACAGAGAUGAUCAUGAAACUGAGGAUGUUUGAAGCCUAGAGGUUGAUCCAUGUAAACCACUUCUGUCAAAUUUCUGUGGAGAAAUGCAUUUUGGACAUCCAACCGACGAACUGUCCAAUUGUUGCAGACUACAAUGGAUAAAACAAGCCGGAUAGUUGCAGGUUUUACAACUGGACUAUAAGUUUCAUGAAAAUCCACCCCUAGCUGCUAAUGAUAACCUUUAGCAACCAGUCAGGCCUUAUAUCUUUCAAUGGAGCCAUCAACUUUCCUUUUAAUCUUGAAAAUCCAGCGACAACCAAUGACAUUAAGAUGGCGUGAUGAAGGGACCAAUUCCCAGGUUUGAUUGCGGAGCAAGGCAUUAAAUUCAGAAUUCAUUGCAGAUCCCCAGUGACAAGAUUUGGAGGCUUCAACAAAUGAGGUAGAUUCUUUGCAGGAGGGAGAGGCAAAAACAUGCAGUGCUUGGGGCAGAGGAUAUAAGGUGUGUCCAUCAGGGGUUUUUUUGGUUUGGAAAUGUGAUUUUUGGAUCUUGUAACCAUCGGGUGAGUAUUUGAAAUAGCUGGGAUUGUGGCUAUGGGAUUUGGAACUGGUAUGAGAGGGGAAACAGGGGUAGUAUCUGCUGAUGAUUGAGGUGCCGACUCUAGAGUUGAAGAAGAUGCUGGUAGAUGGGAAUCAAUGUGUGGCGAUGGUGAAGUUGCACAUGUACCUGCAGGUGUUAGUGACAAGGAAGAAAUAACAUUUGGAAAUGGAACUACUGUGGAGGUUGUGUCUGGACAGAUAGAAGGGUGGUGAUCAGGACUUUUAUAUGGAAAAUGGUUUUCAUAAAAAACGACAUGACGGGAUACAUAAACUUUACCUGUUGCAAGAUCAAGACAUUUAUAUCCAUGAUGGUCCAAGCUAUAACCAAUAAAAAUACAAUUUUUAGAUCUGAAAUCGAUUUUGUGUUUGUUAUAUGGUCGAAGAUAAGGCCAGCAUGCACAAUCAAAAACCUUAAGGAAAUGAUAGUCAGGAGUAUGAUGAUAAACAAUUUUGUAUGGAGAUUUUUGAUUGAGAAUAGGAGUAGGGAGACGAUUGAUAAUAUAAGUGGUCAUGAGAAAAUCAUCUUCCCAAAAUUGUUGUGGAAGUUUAGAAUGUGAAAGUAAUGAAAGACCGAUUUCAACAAUUUGUUUAUGACGACGUUCAACUGCACCCAUUUGCUGAUGAGUGUAUGGACAUGCUCUACGAUGAUGAAUGCCAAUUUGAGUUAGAAGUGUAGACAUGCGGUGAUAUUCGCCUCCCUAAUCAGAUUGAAUGUUUUUUAUGGUACGAUUAAAUUGUUGUUCAACAGAAGUUUUAAAGAGCAAAAAGACUUUCUCAACAUCAGAUUUGAGUUUAAAAGUAAACAACCAUAUGAAUUUAGUGCAAUCAUCUAAAAAACAUAAAUAGUAUCAAGCACCACUGUUUGACAAGAUGGGUGCUGGUCCCCAAACAUCAGUAUGCACUAUGUCUAAAGGAUUAAUGGAUUUAUGAUUGCUGGUUUUGAAAGACAAUUGACUGCUUCUAGCUAUUUGACAAUUUGAACAAACUAGAAGUCUUUUAUUUGCAACAGGUAAUGUAAAUGCAGAAAUAGAUUUUUGAAGAACUGGAAAGGAUGCAUGACUAAGCUUGUUGUGCCAUGUUUGGUAAGAAGCUCAUACAACAGUGAAUGCAUGAGGAGGGAGUGUGUCUGACAGGUUGGAUAAUGAACACAGACCAUCUUUAAAGGUGCCGUGAUGAAGGAUUUUCCCCGAGUAGUCCUUAAUGAGAAAAAAACGAUCAUGAAAUUCAAAAAACACAAGAUUAUCACUGCAAAACUGUUGAACAUAAAUUAGAUUUUUUUGAAUUUUAGGGACAAGAAGUAUUUGUUUGAGCACAAACUGUGUUUUUAAGGGAGUUAAAAUAGAAGAACCAAUUUGAGAAAUUUGCAAACCUGCACUAUUGCCAACAAGGACUUGAUUUGAACCAGUAAAGUCUUCACUCCGUAGAUUCAAGUUGGCCAAGUUAUUGGUGAGAUGAUAUGUAUCACCUGUAUCAGGAUGCCAAUUAGUUGCAGAAACAGCACUUGUUGUAGCCAUCAGACCCUGCAGAUUGCUAGAUUUGGCAGCAUUGUCACGAUAGGUAACGUCAAACUGAUGAUAUCAUUUUUUUGCAGAAUGGCCAGGUUUAUCACAGACCUGACAUAUCAUAAUAUCUAUAUGAAAUGUGUUCCUGCCAUUGGAGCCAUUAUAGAAGGAGACUUCUCUGUAAUUCCGGCCUCUACCUCUGUAUGGAUUUCGUCCUCUAUAUGAAGAAGACAGGGGCUGACAAGUAGCAAUAUGAACAGUGGGCUGGACAUGGGUGAAUUGUUGUGCAAUAGACGUGACUCGGUGGUGAGUAAGAGAGCAUAUACUUCCUCUAAAGUGACAGGAUCUGUGCAGGCUGUGAUGGUAGUAACAAAGGAGUCAUAAUCAUGGCCGGCGAAAGCAAGCUCAUCUGUCAUGCUCUUGAUCUGCAUAAAAAAAUCAUGUGCUGAUUGUGCACCUUUACGAGUGUUAACGAGUUCUGUGCGGAGUUGAAUAACCCGAGCACGUGAUUGAGAGGAGAAGGAUUUGGCUAGAGCACACCAGAUUGCAGCAGAGGUGGUAUGAGAAACCACUUGAAUAAGGACAUUUUUUGAAAUUGUAGAGAAAAGAAAAGCAACUAUGAUGGCAUCUUGUCGCUGCCAAUGUUCAUAAAGAGGGUUGAAGGUGACAGAGGAGGUUUCAGCCAUUGAAACUUCUUUGGGUGGGACGGGAAUGGUUCCAUCAAGGCAUCUAAAGAGACCUUGCCCAUGGAAGAAAGGGAUUAAUUGAGCUUUCCAGACAUGAUAGUUGUCUUUUGAUAGUUUUGUAACAUUUAUGGCUAGAGGAGAAACAAGUGGAGGAUUGCCAUUAGUAGCAGCAUCUGAGGUGUUUAGUGAAGAAGAAGCCAUUUGUGUGAUGUGAGUCAAUGGCUCUGAUACCAUGUAAGAUAAAAGAAUGAAGAGAGAAAGAUGUGUAAAAGAAGAGUUACAAAAAUAUGUUUUCUUAAAUUAAACGAUACUGUUACAUCAUGGUCUUAUAUAUAUUACAAUCCCUGAUUCAAAAAUCCUAUCAUUAAGAAUGCAAUGAAUGAUAAGAUAUAUACUUAAUUCCUGGAAUAUCUGUUGCAAAUAUGAUUACAAUUAUCUUCAGUAUCAUUAAUCUCUUGUGCAGAUAUGAUCAGAGAUCACGAUUAUCUUCAGUAUCAGUGAUCCGUGAUUAUAAUCUCUUCAGUAUCAGAGAUUCAUGAUUAUGAUAGUAAUCCCUGAUCAUGAUAGUAAUCCCUGAUCAUGAUUAUUUUAAGUAUUAGCAUUAUCUUCAGUAGAUAUGAUAUUAUCUUCAGUAUCAAUAAUCACUGAUCAUUAUUAUCUUCAGUAUCAGUAAUAAUCUCUUGUGCAGAUAUGAUCAGAGAUCAUGAUUAUCUUCAGUAUCAGUGAUCCCUGAUCAUGAUAGUAAUCCCUGAUCAUGUUUAUCUUUAGUAUCAGUAUUAUCUUCAAUAGAUUUGAUAAUAUCUUCAACAGACUACAGAUAUUUACAUUAGACGAUCAAUGACACCUGCCUAGCUAAGCUAAGUAACCAAGCCCUAAGAGAUGCACGUACACAAACUGUUCGAGAUCAUAUAUAAAGGGAAAGCUAAAUAAAAGGAAUUAAGAGACAAUCUUGAUGGAGUAGAGGAUGAGACAUGGUUAAUUAAUUAAGGAUAUUGUGUCUGUCUGUGCAAGUUGAUCACAUGAUGAUGCCUUAAUUUGCAUGGUCAGAAACAGCAUCAAAUCAAUCAGAAACCAUAUUCGAUUCUACAUUUUCUUUUAUAUAGAGCAAUCAAUGCAGGUUUUCGUGUGUGUGUGUAUGCCCCCACAAAUGCAUUCUUGAUGAAUCCUUGCAUGUCUCAGCAUCACCCAUGAUUUACAACGAUAAAUUAUGGUCCCCUACCACCAUGGUCCUAGCUAUAUAUAUGGCUGGCUGGCUAAUUUAUUUGUCAGUGAUCUACUUUUCACACCAGUUGUCCACUUCGUCUUUUUACGUUAAAAUAUAUCCCUAUUUCCUUGUGGGAACUGGGGAUUAUACAAGGAAUAUAUUGACCUAAUUUCACCUGAAAGAGACUCAUGAUGAUAUUGGAUCCUUGAACUAAUUAAAGAUACACAAUACUCUAUAUAUAGCUUCUCCUUAGAGAGACAAAUUCAUGCAUACAUGAAGCCCUGAUGAAUAUCUCUACUCUCUGCACGAUACUGUUAAAUUAAUUAAAGUGGGGUGUUUAGGAUGGCUGAAAAAGAAGGAAAAAAAAAAGAAAAAGGAUUGCCAUCCACCUUAAUCGCAAGUUUCUUCAAGAUUUUGUCAUAAUACUAAUAUUUUCAAGGGUGAGAUCAGGCAUGCAAACAGACAGCAAGACUACCAACAAGGCUUUUUCUCAUUCCAGGAGUGAAAAACUGUAAAUCAUUUAAUUUCAUCUUUAAUUAUGCUAGCUGCUUCCAGUAUGUAUUCUUGUAUAUCAUAUCACUGUCUACAACGUUAGUCACUACAGGAACAUCUGGGUGGUCGUAAUGUCACAAUCGGAGCGCUUUCUUUCUCUUUAAAAUUGUUUGGCAACUUUCUCUCUUCUUUAUCAAUAUUCAAGGAUUGAAGUGUAAAAAAAAAAUAAAGUUUUAAAAUAACAGGGAUCCAACUGAAACUUUAGAUGGAAAAUUGAAGUCUUUUAUUGACAAUAUCCAAAUAGGGUCUAUUUUGUUUGCUUUUGUUAAAUUUGAUCUUCCAUCUUUGAGUUUUUCUCUCUUUAGCUAGCAACGAAGUUUAAUUUUACAAAAUCAAUCUUUAUUUAUUGAUAUAAUAUUCAUCGGUAAUUUGUACACGUAAGAAAAUACAAAUGGAAAGAAAUCUCAAAAUAUACAAUCAUGCUAAUGUUACUUGAGAGGAAGAAAUUGUAAAUAAAAAAAAUCAUUAUUCAUAUAAUUAAACAAUAUAGUGAACAAUUGAACUAGGUUAGGAAGAACAUUGCUGAACACAUUGUUUCUUCUCCCCAGUUCUUUGACCUUACCUUGACCUUUUGCCAUUAAAAAACACACUCACACACACACAUGUUUCUGCUAGGUAACAAUCACUAGACUCAAAACAAACCCAAAGGGGGGCCCGCUCUUACUCUGAGGCCAACAUGAACUUGCAAACAGCACAUAUAUAUAUUAUAAUGGGCUGGGCCGCUGCAGGUAUCCUCAAUCAACAUCAACAUACACGAAACGAGACUAAGCCCAAACGAGUCACAAAGAUUAGCCCAUAAAGGGCCUUUUGCUCACUUGACCGAUAGCAUCCAUAGUCCAUCCUGGAAUAGCGAUCCUGAUACGGCACUGCCUAGCGAAGGUCGUCGAUGUUCCAUUAACUGACUGAAAUGUUGGAAUGAACGGCCAGGAUCAUUCUCGUCCACUCAACAGAACAGACAGAUGCCCGUAGCCAACUAAGUUAGGUUGAAAUUGACACAGUAUAUAAGGGCUGGAAGGCAAGGGGUAGGUAAGGGUUCGCAACUGCUUCGGCAGACAGCCGCCUUGAAGUUGAUGUUGGAUGGGAGGAAAUGGAGAGGGAGUAGGGUUUUCGGAAGGUUACUGGAUGGGUGAGUGGGGAAGAUAACUAAGCUCUGUUUGUUAUUUUCCCAACUCCACCCAUCCCAUAGGUUUCCGAUCAUUCCUCCCUCUCCUCAUCACCUCACCUCUGCUCCUCUCUCUUUACAAGUAUGCUUGGUUUGCUUACUUCACCUGCUUCUACUAGAUCUAUCUCUCUAUUUGCAUCUGAGUUUAUCAUAGAUGAAUCUUGUGUGUAGGGUUCUGGAUCUAGUUUUUCUCAUCUGCUUGUAAAUAGUCCUGGAUCUUCCUGACUGCUUUUCAUCCACUAUCUAACUCUUUUAAGUGAUUUCUAUGCAAAUGAAAUCUCUCUGUCUUCAAAGUGCUGCAUGUUCUUGUUCAUGAAACAUUACACAGACAGUGAGUUUAGUUCUGAAUUUCAGAAGAAAAAUUAUAGAUCCAAUUGCUAAUACAGACUGAGUUGAGUCCUUUGAAUUCAUACAUCAUAAUACCAUUGAAUCAAAGGAAAAUCUAAAUUGAUGAAACCUGCUGCUACCCGCCCCCUCUCUCUUUUAAGAGGAUCCACCAUUGAUGAAACCUUGUCCAAACUUCCUUAUCUAUGCACCAAGAGACUGCUUGAAGCCCAACUAAGCUUUUAAAUGGCCAUUGUAACAAAAAAAAAAAGUACUAAAUUCAUGAUAUGGUGUUCAGGACUAAACAUAGAAGAAGUUGAUGGUUUCUACUAGCCAUCAUAGGUUGAUGGAUGAGGCCUGCAAAAACAGAUUUGUUCUGACAAAUCUUAACCCCAGGAUUAAACAGCUCUCUGGAAAGAAAAACUUUGACCCCCUGCAUUAUUGUAAUAUUUGCAGAACUGCGAUAACACUCCUAUACACAUCAGCUCUCAUACCAUGCGCACCUUUUUCAUGGAAUUUAAGUAAUCAUGCCCCCUUUCAACAUGCAUGCCUUGCUUGUAAAUAACGCAAAUAAACAAAUGUAAUGUGAUAAGGUUUCACUCUCUCCCAGCAUUUCCUCAAAUAGUACAAUGGGUCGACUCGCAUGACCAUGUUGCUGGCAAGCUGCAAUAAUGGCUGUCCAACUAACUACAUUUCGAUUCUCGAUCUCUCGAAAUAGUGACCAUGUCAUCGGGUUUGGUUAAUGUGACCGCAUUUAGAGUGCAAAUUAAGGAGGUUGAUGAAGAACUGGAGUGGAAGUGAAGUUGUUGACCAAGAUUUGGUUGUGUAUUUGUUUAAAGAUUCUGCUUUUUUUGUUUUGUUUUGUUUGGUGUUUAGGAUGUGGAUAGGGGUAGAGUAUGGUGGUGGUAAGAUUUGUAAUGAAAUCUGAAGUGGGUGCUAAAUUUGCAUGGGAUUCAGGAGGUAAGUAGACUUUCAUAAUAUUGCACAAAAGUAGUUCAAGUAACCUAUACUAUGUUUUCAGGAAUUAAGACAGGAUGUAUACAUCUUUUCAUAGUAAGGGAACCUUGCUCCGCUGGAUCUGACGGGUCAACCCAAUUCAGAGCUUGCACGAGCUAGGUCUGUUGUUGAAACAUGUAUUUUUUUUAAAACAACAUUUUUACUAUUGAAUUGUCUCGACCUACCCACAACCUGAGUUUUAGAGCAAGUCACGCGUCUAUUUUAUGUUAUCUUGUCUUGUUUGAUGAAGAUUUAGAGGUUGGGAUGAUUGCCUUUUGCUACAAAUUACUGUGAUAUUUCAGGUUCGCCAACAGCAGCCCGUCUUGAUCUAGCUUGUUGGGGGGAUGCUAAUUGAAGACUAUUUUUAUGGAGUGGAGUGAAAAUCCGAAUUAGAUGCAUGUCUCCUAUUCGAUUAUUAUCCACACAAAAACAUCUCUCCCUCGAUUGCAAAAUAAUGUUUGGGGUCAUGAAGCUCAUGUCUAUGGGUUUAAUGACACCUUUUAGGCCCUUAACUAGUAGUGUUGGAAGUCUCCAUUUAUCAAAUCUUAUGAUUUAACUAUUAAGAAAUGUUUUAAACUCUGAAGAGUUGUUAAUUUUAUCAGCAAAGAUACGGGCAGCAUUUAUCAAGAACAUGAUAUUUUCAAAGAUAAAAGUGGCCAGUUCGAUAGUAUACAUGUCUCAAUGUGCCGCACUUCCAAUUGUUCACGGACAAAAGAAUUGUCAGUGAACCUUUCUCUAUGCAAAUUUAAGCCAUGCUUUGAUUAUCAGCAUGCAGACACCAUCCUGUAUCACAGUUAAGCAGUUCCUCCCGCGGUCCCGUACAAGAUGUGGUUCCCAUCAUGAGCAUGAAGACGACGAAUAAAGGUUAAAGGUAGAUGAUUGACAAAGGUAGCCAGCCCAUUGUUGCUAGCGUAUUCAGGUGGGGGAGAUGGAUGCCCUUUCAAGACAGCCAUCGGUUUCAAGCAGCCAACUGUAUGUUUGAUUUAAGAUAAGAUCACAAAGGGAUAAGAUUAAUCAGAUACUUCAUCACUGUAUGUAUGGCUUGUUGUGGUGUGGUUACCGGGGGACCAAUCAUAUUCCUCUUAAUAAAGAGAAGAAGAUCGAUAAAACAAAUUAAGUGCAUAGGAGAUGAUCUUCUUAGUAAAGCAUUGGGGAUUAGAUUCAUGGCCACGUCAAUUUAGAAUAUUAAUGAUGUUUUAAAUAAAAAAAGGAAAAAAGGGGUGUCGGCUCCCCCUUGGGAUCUUAAGGCCUAAGCAUUGGCACAUGGUGUACUCGCCUCCCCCUUCUUUUCUAUCUCUAAAAAUAUCUUGAAGUCUGACCUGUGAACCAGUUGUUCGUUGAUGAUAUUUUCAUGCCUCACAACUUUUUUUUUAUAUUCGUAGGUAAUUUUAUAAACGGUUUAGAAAUACGGUGCAAACCACAUUCUUAAAAAAUUUAAUUUUUUUUAAUUAAAAUUUAAUAUAAUUUGUACGUUUUAGAUUGUUUUGAUGUGCUAAUAUCAAAAAUAAUUUUAAGAAAAUAAAAAAAUAUUAUUAACAUGUAUUUCAGUACGAAAAGUUAUUUGAAAAGUAACUAAAUAUAUUCGUAGAUUAUCUAAAAUCUAGAUUAUCUGAGAUGAUCCAUGUAGUUGCGUUUCAAGGGAGGGGUUCUUUCCCUCUUAAAUAAGGACUUGCUGAUUCUUUUUAGCUAGAUUGAUUGAUACUAAUAAUUGGUGAUCUUGAAUUCUUCAUCACUAAGAUAUAAUAGCAAAAGAUCUUCUUUGUUAUUUGAUUAUUUUUCAAAAUAGAGGAGUGAUGCUGUGUUUAUACUCUAUUGUCAUUUUCUUUGUAAGAAACAAGAAGAUGAUGAUGAUGAUGAUGAUGCAUGAGGUUAAAUAGAUGUCGGUUGAUGCAUGACAGCCCCACAGAGGCAAGGGGGUGAAUUAACUUGGGAUUGUCGACAUGAAAGCUUGCAAUUAAAUUGAUUCUUCCAAGUCAGUAGAAGCAAAAUUGAUAAUGUUGGCCUGCAAUGGACAAAUAUAGCGCCUUCAUAAAUAAGAUUUUGAGUGAUUGUUUUUUAUUUGUUAAAAUCUAUAAUUGAUAUAAACAAAUUAAAAUGAUUAAAAAAAUAAUUUAAUAUAAUUUCUUUUUAAAAUAAAAAAAAACAAAUUAAAAUUCAGUUCCAAACAAAAAUAAUAAUUCGUCAGGGGGGACCAAGAUAGCCGCCACCCGUGGGCCUGCGACUGCUCUAUGUAGGCAGUAACGUCCGUCUUGAUGACAAUUACGUACAUUCAUUUCGGUUUCUGUCCCCGUCGCGCACGGUUUCCAGCCUCCAUCGCCGCUGUUGCUCCUCCUCGACGACAUGUCAACCUAGGAGCGGCCCUCUGAAUUUACUCUCUUAGAUAAAAUAAUAAUAAUAAUAAUUAAAAAGAUCUCUCCACACAACUCAACUUCUUGGCCCGGGAGGAAAGCAAGAUAACAUGGCUUAUCUGUAAGCCGUACAAAUACGAUUCUUACAACCCAAAAGCGUGGCAUCUUCUAAUCUUAAGCUUUCUGAUUUAAUCUUUCCACGAAAACAAAUCAUAAUUAAUUCAUCAAACUUAACAGCAAAUCAUUAAUAAUUAUGAUAAUUAUGAAUUGUACCUCAAACUUAACAACAAGAGGUCUUAAUAAAUUUAAAUCAUUUUUUGUAUUAAAAGAUAGAUUUGUGAAAUUUUAUAUAUAAAAUUAAAAUCAAUCUCAAUUUAAUUAUAUAUAAAUCAAUCCAAAAAUAUCGGUGAAGCAAAAAACAAGAUAUCAUAGUCAUGUUACAAAUGUUAGAUUAUGCUUGUUUGGCUACUGUUAAACUUCUUUUUUAAGGAAUAAGAGAUAAAUAUUCAAAUAUAAAAUAAAUCUGUUUUUUGUUGUUUUUAUUUUUACUUUAUCUAUUAAUUCUUUUGCCUCGACGUCGUACAUGAAAAAAGAAGUGGAUAUCUAGACGUAAUUAGGAGUACGCGUGUAGACGACGUGGAAGUUAUUGUAGGGGGAGUGGCUUUGGUUCUCUAUAUAUAUAUAACCAGCAACAACAGCCCUUGAGAGAAUUACUACGCCAACAGAGAAGGAAGCAGCUGAUCCUGAAGAGCAAUUCGCUAGCCUGUUAAAGUUAAUUAAUUAGCAGUUAGUUAGUUAAUUAAUUAGUCAAGAAGAUGUCAAGUACUAACUUCAUAGACAUCUUGCUGGCCAUCAUCUUGCCUCCUCUCGGUGUAUUCCUCAAGUUUGGUUGCGGGGUAAGCAAUUAGCAGCACUGAUCAUCUGUUUCUCGAUCGAUUCCUAGCUAGCUAGUACGUAUAGAACUUGCAAGUGUCUGUAUAUCUCAAUCCUUUGUUCUUGUAAAUAUGUCAGGCGGAGUUUUGGAUCUGCUUGCUGCUUACCAUUUUAGGGUACAUCCCUGGAAUCAUUUAUGCCGUCUAUAUCAUUACCAAGUGAUCGAUAUCACCCUCUUCUUCAUGAUCUCUUGUUGUAAGCUCUCUCAUCCGCCUCCUUAAUUAGUUUCUCUCCCUUCUAUUUCCACUGUCUAUAUAAGUUUGAAGCUGUGUUCUUGAAAUUUAGUAAAAAAACACUGAUACUGCGCUCUGAUAUUGAAAGGUGCUCUUUCUUUUUUAUGAGAAAAUUAAAUAUGUUUUAAUUUAGAAGAAGAUUUAUAUAUAUAAUAUUAAUAAAUAGUGGAGGAUCACAACAGAUGAUUGAUUUAUGUGUUUAUUGAAGUUGCAUGUGUAUAUAUAUUUAAUUCAUGGGGCCGGUCCCUUCAAUUUUUUAACAUAUUUGUUGUUGUCUUUAAAAAAACAGGUGGAGAGACGCAGUACCGUUUGAUCCAAUAAAAAAGUUCCUGGUCGUCUGAUUCAAUGAAGAGCUCCUGAUUUUGUAUGGAGUUGGAUGAUUAUACACACUCCCUUUUCAUAAUUGUUUUUUCUUUUUAAUGUAUUAAUUGAUAUUUUGUAAAGGAGGUUAGCAGCCCUUAUUGCUGAGUGCCUUAUCAUGCGUGCAUGGUCUGGUUAAUAAGCAAGUCUCUUUCGUUCUUAAUCUCCCUGUCUUAAUUUGUUGUGAACAUCCGAAUUUGUUUUAAUUAGUUAAUGGAACUGUCUGCCUAAUUGUUUGUGGAUGCAAUCAUUGACUAUUUGGUGACUGUUCCUCUGAUUUUCCUUCAAUUAGUGCUGCUGGUUACAUAUACAUGAAACAGCUUAAUUAAUCAUUAUGAUAUGAUUACGUACGUUCAUGAGUGUUAUAAUGCGGCGAGGUUAAAAUCAUAUUUUAUCCUAAACACUUAAACUCUUAUAAAACAUUGAUUAGAAAAAAUUAACUAUAAUUUAUAUGUUUUCUUAAUUAGAAACUUGUAUUCCCGAAACCUAAUUAACCAUAAAUACAGUCUCCUAUCCGAUAAAACGCACGUAGUGGCAGCUGGCUAGAACAAAAAAGAAAGGACAAAACAAGGAAGGAAGAUGCAUCAUCUUGAAUCUCAUCCCAAGAAACCACCUUUGCUGCAGCUCGUGCUUACUUGCAAGAAGACGAUUGCUCGCUCUUGACAGAGACCAAUUAAUUUGUCUUAUCCAUGAAGCCAUCCCCUCCCAAGCCAGCUCAGGCUGCCCCACCACAACCCAACUACGUACGGUUACAUUUAGCCAUGAUCGAUGAGCUCAUCACAGAAGUGUUAAUUUCUCAUCUAGAAGGUCGAGGCUCUUGCCAUUUGUUAGUUCAACCAGGGAAUUGUGGUUGUCAAAACUUGAGACGGAAAUUAUUAACUUGGCUGAUCAUGAAAUCAAAGGAAAAUUAAGGUAGUCCCAAAUACAGGAAUGGGAAAUCUUACAACAUUAUUCUAUUUUUUUUUUGUCCCUUGUAAACGUUGAAUAUAUCCAAGAAUCGCACACUACUGACAAAUUAACAGCAUGUCGGUCUUCCCGGCUUCACUAUCAUUGAAUAGUACUGAAAUAGACACAUGCAUGACGGAACCCUCAGGUUAAUCCAUCUCUUGAUUUCACACCGACACCAACAAAAUAUUGCCUUAAGAUAUAUAUGGUCUCCGAAUUCUUAAUUCUUACAAGAAAUCUUUAGCCAGCCUUGUUACAAAAGAUCGUUGCUUUUUGCCAGGUAUAUAUUUUAUAGAAAUAUUAGAAUAAACGAUACACAAACAUAGACAGCUACUCUCUAGAUUGAUAUUUUAUGGGAGCAUCUUUUUCCGCCAAAGAUUGACAUUCUCUUAUGGUUACAAGACAUUGAAACCAAACCUUUGUUAAUAAUAUUGUCGGCAACUCAUUGUUAAUCCUAAAAAGUUUGAUUUUUGAACUUUAAACUGAGCGCCUACAGUUAUUCAUAACAUUUAAGUGUUAAAAGUUAAUGUUUUAUAGCUUAACUGAUACAAAGUAUUUUCCCUUCUUAUAAGAAAUCUUGGUUUCAAUUUUCUUAACAAAAUAAAAUAAAAUAAAGACAAGAACAGAACAUUAACACGGGACAACCUUGCCGACAGGAAGCCAUGAAAAAUAAUUAGGAAUAUAAUUCAUUUAUCAAUUCAUAGCCCUCCCCCCCAGUACCCUUUGUCUUACUCGUCUUUCAACAAUUCAGUAUGUCCUUUUCCUUCCAAGUAAUUUAAAUUAUUAAAGCUGGAAAAUUUAAUCUCAAUGAAUUCCUCCUUUUCAAAACAUGUCUACGCGACCUUAUGUUCUUUCAGUAAUAAAAAACAACAACAAUGAUGUCGAGUCUAUCUAACAUUCAACGUCCAUUUUGAACAGCUAAUUAUGACAAUUUAAAAUCUAACAAGGCCCCUGCACUUCUUAUAUUGGUCAAAUCAAUCCCUCUAGAUGGUGCGAAGAAAAUAAAAUAUAUGUCCAAAGACAAUAGGGCCGCCCACCCGAGGCUGCUCGCGAAGACAAGAAGAGAGGGAGAGAAAAGAGGGAAGGAGGAGAAGAAAUGGGUAGCCCAACCGAACCCUCUCUAAGCCUAGCACGAUUGAGCUCUUUCCUUCCUAGCUAGACCAAUAAAACCAUCUUCGACCUUGGUUUAGCCGACUCUUAUCCUAAACCAAACCAAAGGUGGAGAGAAGAGAAGGAAAAGGGGAGAAAAGGUCAAUCCAAUCUUAGCCCAAACCCUGUACCUAGCCUUCAAUGACCACCUUUUCUUGCCAAUAAACCAUCUCAGGCCAAGACUAUACUAAUAUUGACUUCUAUGCUAACAGCACUCCUAACCUAUAAUGGCCAAUAUUUUUUUAUUUCAUAAACAUAAAAAUGCAUGAAAACACCUAGAUAAGACGUAUAAAAAGCCAAAAAGAAUCUUCAAGGACAAGGAUAUGAAAAUAAAAAUAAAAAAACCAAACUGAACUUGUAUAUGACCAUAAAAACACAAGAAUACAAAUAAAACACAAUAAAAAAAACCAUGUAUUUGCUUCUUCAAUUCCAGGGACUCCUUAUUGGUUGCAUUAUUAAAAAUAGUAAUAAUAGCUUUCACUGGCUGUAUCAUUGGAUCAAUUAUUUCCAAUAGAAAAACGUCCUGAAAAGAUCAAAGAUCAAAGCAAUGCUCUAAAAUCAUAAUUUCUAGAGAACACUUACUUUACAGCCAUUAGUCAUGUGAUUUGCUUCAAGGCAAGGUACGAGAAAAAAACAUAAAACCCAACCCAAGUAUAAAGAAAACCAAGCCACAAGGAUAAAGAGAUCGUGAAAUCACCAUAACCUAAUAGAUGAUUUAUGAAUUGUCAAGGAACCAACUCAACCCAAUAGUUUAAGCUGUUAGGUGAGGUUUCAGGAUAUGAUUUAUAUUAUUCUCUAACACACCCCCUCAAGUGAAAGCCAUUUGGACUUGAAACUUGCACAGGCCCACAUUACCUUGUGUUUAAUUUUUUUUAUCAAAUAAAUGGAGAUGGUGAGAUUCGAACUCGUGACCGCUUGGUCAUCAAUGCUCUGAUACCAUGUCAAAGAACCAUCUCAACCCAAUAGCUUAAGCUGUUAGGUGAGGUUUCAGGAUAUGAUUUAUAUUAUUCUCUAACAUGAAUCAAUUUGGAGUCAAAUUUAACUAUAAUUUUCACUCCAAAAAAGUCUUUUCUCACCAAUAACUAUCUCUUUUAAAUUGUCUAAGACCAACUUUUUCUCCAAUGACUAUUCCUAAGCUGACGAUACACCAAUUCUUUUAGCUUGUCCACCCUUUUCAUCAAUGGCUAUCUCUAAACCUAACUUUGCACCACCUCUCAUGGCUUAACCACCUUUUUACCAAUGACUUACUCUCCAACACCAACCCUAAUCCCUCAAUGACAAGCGUGACAUAUCAUUAAAUACCACAUGUCAUUAGGUAAAAAGCUCAAACAAACUCAUUUGAUUUAAUUACUCUCUUGUUCCAUAUAUAACAUUGUUCUCAUUACCACACAUCCUUUCUUCACAUACAUAUUUUAUCUCUUCUACAUUUACUAACUUAAGUACCGAAGGGUCUUCUAUUUUGUCAAAAAACUUAUUUUGCAGGUUAGUCAUCAGCCUAUCAUACAACUAUGAAAAUCUAGAUCCAAUUUUAAAGACUUCAUCACCUCUAUAUAUUUUAAAUUAAAUAAAAAUUAACCCUUAAUUUACUUUUAGAUGAAGGUGAUUUUAACCCAUCAUCCUAUGGAAAAUGAUUCUCCAAUUACCUAUAAUUAGUAGUAGCCAGAGGAGUUGAUUUGAACCAAUUUAAACUAAAUUUAGUCCACUUGGACUGAAAGUCUUUUUAUAUAAUUAUUUAUUUUCUUUCUUCCUUUACAAUUUAUUUUUUUCACUUUAUUUUCAUAUAAAAGUCCUGCUUUUUGUCCCAUUAAUAAGCAUAUUAUUGUGUUUGUCUUAAAUUGUAGAUCCAAGUAAGAAAAGAAAUACACAUGUAAUGUAAUUAAUCCAUGUAUAAAAACCUAAAAUUAUCAUAUUUUAGGUUUAAAGCUUAUUUGUAAGUGCUUCAAUUCUCUACACUUAGAUGGUUAGAGAAAGGAGAGAAAAAAGUGAGUUUUUGAUUAAUUUUGAAUUUUAGAUUAAAUCAAUUUUGUGUAAUACUUUGUAAUCUUCUAUUUUCUCAUAGUGAAUUUCUUUUAUCAUCUUGCGAGUGGAGUAAGCCUAAGUUGUCGAAUUAAAUAAAUUCCUUGUGCGCUCUUGUGUGAUUAAUUGAAUUUAUUCUUUUAUAUUUCUUUACAUGUCAAUUGAUUUGAGAUCUUAAGGCUGUUUUCACAACACAUAUCUCGGCUCUCAAAGUUUCUACAUAUAAGUUAAGCACUUGAUGAUUUGUUUCAGCAAUGUGAUAUUGUUGAGUAGCAUCUAAAAGUUGCUUGAAUAGAUAUGCAUUUGCUCCUCUCAGUCAUUGAAUUGAAAUUUUAAUCUUAUAAAAGAAAUUAAAUAAAUUCCUUUAAAAAAGGCUACAUGUAAGGUGUCUACUUUCAAAUAAAAAAAAAUCUUAAACUUUUAAGUUUAAAUAUUUGGGUUUUGUAUUUAGAUUAUUAUUAUUUAUUUAAUUAGAAAAAUUAGUCUCUAAAACUUUCAAUUCAAUUUUUUUUAAAUCUUCUUAUGAUAUUCUAACAAUAAUUUUGUAUACAUUAACUCUAACAAAAUCCCAUUCUACUAAUGCUAGAAACUAUUUAAUAUCAAACGGCAAUUCAAACUCUCUCGUUGCCUAAAUAAUAUAUGUCGGAAGAUAUUGAGAAACUGAGAAUUAUAUUAUUUGAGCUUUGUGUUAUAAUAUCUCCCGAGAAGCUUUCAUGAGUGAUUAAUUAGGAUGAUCAUGGAUUAUAAUUCUUGCAUCUUUCUUUUCUUCUUAAUAUUCUAAUUUUUCAUUAUAUAUAUUACUUAGUUGUUCACUUGUUUUUAGUUUAUUUUAAUUUUCGUUGUUCAAAAGGUCAAAAAGUCUCAUUUUUUAUAAUCCUCUAGCUCUCUCUACAUUAUAUACACUUACUAAUACAUAAGAUGAUAAAUUUUUUCAAUUAAUUGCAAUCAUAAUCAAUAUUUGAAAAACUAAUAUUUUUGAUCAAUAUUUGAAGAACUAAUAUUUUUGAUGUUUUUUGAAAUAGCCUAAUUCCCUGUCUAAAAAGAUCAAAUAAUAUAGUGUUAAUCCAUUGACUUGUGGGCGAGGCUUGCAUCCAUACCCAAUAUCCCUAGGCUUGGUAGAAUAUCAAGCUCAUAUGACACAUGUCUGCUCACUUCUAGGCCCAACAUACUUGAGUUCAAUCACGUGCUAAGCCCAAACGGACAUGAGAUUGACGAGUUGUCUGACCUAACAUUCUUAAGUCAACCAUGGGCCGAGUCCAAACAAACGUAGGUCUGAUGAGUUUUCAGGCUCAACAUCCUUGGAUAAUCCACGUGCUGCGUCUAAAUAGAUACGGGUCUGACUAGUUGCUAAAUCCACGUCUCCUGGACUUAGGUGCAUGCCAAGCCCAAUUAGUCUAGAAGUUGUUAUAGGCCCAUUUUAGGGCCAUAAGACUCUGUUUAUUUAUUCUUAAUACUUUCAACAUGAAAUCUUCAUGUCAACGAUAUUUGUUUCCCUACAUUUAUAGGUAUAUAAAAACUUUCCCAAUAGCUUAUUAUAUUUCCAUCUCAUUAAUUAAAGUGUAAGAGAUAUUUGUCCCUUAUUAAUAUUGUGUAUGAGAUAUUUUUCUCUCAUUAAUGUUGUGUAAUGUAUAUUUAUCCCUCAUUAAUUAUAUUAUGAGAAAAUGACUCUCUAACCCCUCUACUCUAUUAAAACGACAAGAUUAAGAAAUUUUAACUGCCCUAUGAACCACCCAGAUAAAAGGUUAACAAUUUCUCUCAUCUAAGUAUUCAUACUUUAAUUCUCAGAGUAUUUAUUAUAUAAAACAAGAACAAAUAUUUUUAUUUUGGAAUUUAAAGUUUAUUCUUUCAUUUAUUACAAUUUCUUAUUAAAAAAAUCAUUGACUUCAUCAUAUGAGGCUCCCUAAAUCCUAACAAAAGGGACUAUUUUGUAGUUAUUGAGCUUUCUACCAUCAAUCAUCUACUUUCCAAGCUUUAGAAAAGAGAAUAUUGAUCUAAGUGUGUGAUUAACUACUAUCUAAAAUAUUAAAUAAUCUCAUUCAGGAGCAUAUUAUAUUUUGAAACAUCAUUAAUAUUGAAUCAUAAUUUAUGUAACAUUAUUUUGUUUUUUUAAAGAAAAUUAUAUGAAUGUAUAUAUAUCAAUAAUAAUAAAAAAUUGGAAAAUAGCCUAUGCUAGAAAAUUUUAAAAGUAACCAACAUAUGGUAAUACCUUAGAUGCAAUAUGUAUUGAAAUUAAUUAAAUUUUAUUAUUUUUGUACAAUGAGUCAUAUCUAAUUUUUCCAAAAAAAAGUAUAAAUAAAGCAUUUCAAAUUACUUCCAAUUUAUUAAAAAAAUAAUUGUUGAAAAUCCAAUAACCGUAACAAUUAUACAUGAAAAAUUUUAGUAAGAUUAAAAAAAAAAGAAAUUAAAGAUUAAAAUAAAGAAGAUUCAUGGAAAUUAAUCAUGUAUUAUCUACUAUGUAUCCAAUAUUUUUCAAAUACUAAAGACUAGAAUCUAAGAAAACCCGCCAUAAUUUUUCUUGCAGCAGGAACUAGCAGGUAGAUUUUAUAUCAAGAAAAGAAAAACAUGAUGAUUGACAAUAACUUGUGAAUCAAUGGCAAAAAAAGUUUGAGUUUUUGAUGAUUUUUUGCAGCCUAAUUGUGGCCUGUUUGUGUUUCUUUAAUCUCAAACAAUUGGGCUUGUGGGCUAUAAUAAUUAUGUGGGCUUUCUGUCUCUUUUCAAAAGUCACAUAUUUAAGCUAUAUAUAUACAUGUAAAAUUUAUUGCAAUGUCAUUUGUUUGACAAUAUUAAUUGCAAUUGAUUUUAAAGGAAAAAUUAUUAUUUAAUUCCAAUUUUUUUAAUGAAAUAAUUAGUUAAUCUCUGUUUUGUUUUUCUAAUUUAAUAUUGAGUCCCUAUAUUCUCAUAUUUGAUUGUAAUUUGGUAUUUUUGUUAGUUUUUUUUACCACAAUUAAAAAAUCCUUCAUUUAUAAUCAAGAUUCUCAAUUUCUUAUCUACUACAGACGGAAUUAAAUGUUUAUUUAAAAAGGAAAAAUUAAAAUUUUCAAAAACAUAAAAUAAAAAUAACAGCUUACUUUGGUUAGGAGACUAACUUAUGAUUUUCAAGAAUAAAGGGACUAACUUAUAAAAUCAUAAAAAACACAGGGACUAAAUUAUAAUUUACUCAUUAAUAUUUCUGUAAUAAGGUUAUAUAGAUUUUACAAUUAUUACAACUAAGAUUGUCUUGUAAAUGCAACUUAGGAUUUUUUUUUAGUUUUUCAUCAAAUUUAAAUUAUUUCCCCCCCCUAAAAAUCCCUUGUCUGUAAUCAAAUAUUCUAAUUUUAUCUUCUACACACAAAAUUACAAGAGUAAUUUCAAGUUUUCAAAAACAAAAUUGAAAAUUCAUAGUCAACUUUAAUCGGGAGACUAACGUAUAAUUUUAAAAAAUAGAGGGACUAACUUCCAAAACCAUCAAAGCACAAGACUGAAUUACAAUUUACUCAUAGUAGAAUUUACAAUUUAUUGCAUCUAAGAUUUGUUUUGGGUAAUUGUGAUUAUUAAAUAAAAAUAGUGGAUUCUAACAUGUUUUCUCUCAAUUAUAUAAGAAUUAGUACCAAAACCCAAAACCAACUAAAACUGUAAUUAUUAAAGUAUGCAAUUUUUAAGGUGUUAAAAAAUUUCAAUGCGAGAGUUUAAAAGUAUGAGAUUAAUGUAACUAUAAUUAAAAUAUUUUUUAUUUUUUUAAAUAAUAUUAUGGUUUAUUUUUCUGAACUCAUUAAUCAGAAAAAAUUAAAUACUUCUUCUCCCACAUCUUUCUUCCCUUAUGCUCUUUGUCCUAUUCCCCUCUCCACAUUUUUCUGAAAUUAUGUACACGAAGUAAGAUUUUUCUUUUCAAGUUUUUUAAGCUUGAAAAUAAAAUACAUUUAAAUUAAAAAAUAAUGAAAUCAUUAAAAAAAUAAAUAAAUAAAACCCACGCAAAUGCGUGAGCCGCUUGACAAUUUUUAUACACAAUAUUGCAAAAGUCAUGAAUACUAAAAGAUAUUUAUUUGAUCUAUAUAUAGAAACAAGCUUUUAUAAGGAAUCCAUAAAUGCAAAAUCUUGAGGUCUAACAAUGAAGAAAUUAAUUUUGGAAAAUUUUCUCAUACCACAAUCUAAAAUUAUACCUUUUUUCGAGGGGGACAUCUUCUAAGGAUUAAUUUCAUAGUUUUUAUAAAAUCUUGAAAAAUUCAUAAUAAUAGGAACCAAAUUAAUUUUAACCAUUGCCUGAACAUCUCAAUAUCUUAAUUUAAUAAGAUCCAAAAAUAAUUAAUUUUGAUAAAAAUACAAUUCCAUUACAUCGGAUUUACAAAAACAUAUAUAGAAUUCAUAAAUAAUAAAAUCUAAAUAAAAAUGUAUCUACAACUCAUAAAUUAAUUUAUAGUUAUCUCAUAUCACUACAUAAAAAUCUUUAUCUCCUUUUGCAUCAAACUUACAAAAACUUUAACGAGAUCCUUAAAUAAUAAUAAAAUCUGAAUGAAAUACUUAUAUGAAAAAAAAAAUACAAUGAAUAUAUUAAUUUAAAUAUAUCUUACAUCAUUGUCUAAAUUUUUUUUUAUCUCCCUUUACAUAAAAAUUACAAAAACUUGCGUAGGACCCAUAAAUAAUGAAAUUUGAAUUAAUUAAUAAAAUCUACCCUUGCAGGCCUAGGCACACCUGCCCUUGCUUAGGCCCUAGGAACUAGUCCAUUAUGUUCAGACUUUUGGACUUGUUUUUAAAGGGCUUUACUUUAUUUUUUUUAACGUCAUUUUCAUAAAACCUAAACUAAAAAAUUUAUUUUUUUUAAAAAUUCAUACAUAAAUAAUUGUUUUUUAGAUUAUGGCGGGAUAAAUAUUAAUUUUGCUUAAUUUUUUUUUAAAGUGUAGAUUUUUAAUGAAGUUAUCUCGGUCUCAUAAUGUAAGUUGAGAAUUUUGUACGUUAACCCGGAUUGACUUGAUUUUUUUUAUUUUUUUAUAAUUAAUUUUUUAUAAUUUUAUAUUUCGACAAUGGGCUGGUUAAAAAAUUGCCUUUGUAUAUUUUUAUUUAUUUAUUUUAUAUGGGAGGAUCCUGUUUUCAUGACUUGAGUCACAUGUUUGAUUUUUUUUUCUAGGUUUACUCAAGUUAUUUUUUCAAAUUGGAUUUUUUUUUAAUUUUUAUCCGUUAAUAUUUGAUUGAAUGAAAUACUUGGGCUUCCUAAUUUAUAUAAAUUUACGUUUUAUGAGGUUAUCACGAUCUUAUGACUUAAAUUGCGGGUUGAUCCAGAUCGAUUUAAUAUAUUAUCAUCUUAAUUUUCUUUUAAUGUUAUCCUGUAUGUCAUAAUCUUAGUAUUUGAAAAGCGUAUAAUCUAGCAUGCAUCAUAUUUUAGGCUUCUUAGCAUCUUUACAUUUAUUACACUUAAAAAAAAAAGAUUUGAUCUAGAACGAGAACAUAGCACGAGUCAAAGAGCUAGUAAUUAAUGAAUGUGAACAAAAAAACAUAUUAAUUUAUAGUUAUCUCAAACCGCUCAUUAAACCGUUCAUCUCCCGAUAUAUUGAAGUUAUUAAAACUUAAAUAAGAUCCAUAAAUAAUGAGAUUUAAACAAAAGAUAAUUCCAUUAUAUCGGAUUUAUAAACACUUAUAUAGAGUUCAUAUAUAGGAAAUCUAAACAAAACAUGUAAAUUGUACAACGGAUAUAUUAAAUUAAAAUUAUCUCAUAUAAUUAUUUAAAAUUUUAUUUUUUUUAUCGAUCAAGCUUACAAACACUUAUAUGAUAUCCAUAAAUAAUGAUAUUUGAACAAAAAAAAAAAUAAAAGAUUCCACUACAUCAUACUUACAAAUAUUUAUAUGGAAUCAUAAUAAUGAAAUCUAAAAAAAAAAACAUAGCAAAAAUAUUAUUAUUUUUUUCAAAAAAUUAUAUCACGUACACUAGAGUCUAGAUUUUUCUUUUCCUGCAGGAACACUUUUUAAUUAGGCUUGAUUAAGAAUUUCUUUAAUAUUGUCAUCUAUUUUAUUAUAAUAUAUUUAAAACAAUUACUAUAAUUAAAUUUGAUGAUUGUGUAAAAGAAUUUAGAGUGAGUUUAUAUUUUAAAAAAUAAUGAAUAAAUAAACAACUUUUCAUGAAGUUUAAAUAUAUAUUCAAGGUGCUUUCGUGUAUAUUAGCUUGAAUUUAAAUGCCAAACGAGAACCUAACAACUAUAUAUUAAUUAACAUACGUUGGAAUAAUUAAUUUAUAUAUAAUCUUGUCAAUAUAUCUAUAUAUUGCUUAUGCAAGGAUAAGGGAACAAUAUUCGGAUAACAGAGAAGGAUAAAAUUUGUGCUUAUCUGUGGUAUAGUACUGAAUUAUACCGUUUUUUUUUGUCAUAUACAUCAUCACCAUGCAAAACAAUAUCUAGAAUUUACUUGAUUUCCUUUUAUUGGUAUCGAGUAAAUCUUAUCUUUUCAAGGGAUAUAUUGGCAUAUUAAAUGAUGGCUGUGUGUGCCAAUUUUUCAAUUGAUGGGUUAAUAAAUUUAAAUACCCAAUAUAUUUAUAGUAUAUUAUGAAAAAAAAUACUACAUACAUAAAAUAAUUAAUCACUUGUAAGAUUAUGGUUAAUUACCCAUAAAUAAAUAAAUAUUAAUUAUAAUUGCAAGAUGAUGAACCUUGGAUAUACAUUAGGACUUAUCACCGGGGCUACACUACAAGAAUAUACAACCAUAAUUAGCAAAAAUAGCACACAGCUUUUACAACACUUAAAUGUCUGAAUAAGGGAACAGAUAAGCAAAUCUAAAAAAAACAGCAUAAUUCAUGUAUUUUACCCAUUAAUCAAAGAUAAGGCAUUGCCCAUGAUAUACACUCCUACCAACUCUCCACACGAUGCCACAGAUUUUUUAAAUUAUUUGUGUAUCUAAAUAUAUAUUCUUAAUUCCAAUAUAGGUAUGCAACCUUGAUAGUACUUGCCAAAUAAAUCAAAAUGUCCAGCGAAGGAAUUGACAAAAUGCACCGUAAUCUUGCUGUGGGGUUACGCAUGAGCAUCUCUCCAACCUAUAUAUAGAGGGUAGAGUGUUUGAGGAAAGAUAUACCCAGACCAAGAAUCUUACCCCCCAACCUAGCCAUGACUAGAAAGAAGGUGAAGCUUGCAUAUAUCUGUAAUGAUUCUGCAAGGAAAGCCACCUUCAAGAAAAGGAAGAAGGGCCUAAUGAAGAAGGUGAGCGAGUUAAGCACCCUUUGUGGUAUUGAUGCUUGUGCUAUCGUUUAUAGCCCUUAUGACUCUCAACCUGAGGUUUGGCCCUCUCCUCUAGGGGUCCAAAGAGUGGUUACUAAGUUCAAAACCAUGCCAGAAAUCGAGCAAGGUAAGAAAAUGGUGAAUCAAGAGAGUUUCUUGAGACAAAGGAUCACCAAAUCCUGUGAUCACAUCAAGAAACAGCGGAAGGACAACCGUGAGAAGGAGGUCACCCAUGCUAUGUUCCACUGCCUGGGUGGAAAUGUUAGCUUGGGUAACCUGCAUAUGAUGGACUUGAAUGACCUUGGAUGGAUGAUUGACCAUAGCUUGAGGGACAUCGACAUGACCCUAAACAAUGGGAGUGGCAGUGGCACUAGCCAUACCUCUCAAUUGGAAGCAGCUGCAACCACUGGGGCUGGACCUAGCAGUGCUAGAGAGCAAGCGCCGGAGUCAUCUCAGAUGGUUACUAAUGAUUUUGAGGUUAAUGUGGGUGCCAUGCAGAGGCAGGAAUGGUUCAUGGACUUGAUGACCCCUCAAGAGCAUAUGGGGUUUGGCGGGGAAGACAUGGUGCUGCCUUCUGGGGAUAACAGCCAGAAUGGACUUUGGACCAAUUCAUUUUUCCCUUGAAAUGGUUAAUUAAUUUGCUUUCUUAAUUAUGAAUUGUCUUUAAUUUCCUGAGCUUUUUUAGCUAUUGUUUGGACACAGUUUCAUUACAGUAUUUUACUUAUGAAUAAAUUUCUUGUCUACCAAAUCUACAUGAAUUAUAAUAUGUUCAUGGUAUUUCGAUUGCUUGUUUCUAUCUUUUCUCUGAUUUAAUUUCAAAUAUUAUAUAUCGUGUCAUCCAUUAUCAAUUCUUGAAUCAAAUAUUAUGAUUGGUUGACAUGAUGGAAUAUAUAAUCAAAUCAAAACAUUUUCUUACAACAAUAUUAUCACUCUACAUAUUCUAAUUAAAGCAGGGAGUAUGAACAUGCAGACAAAUUUAAUAAGAUUUAACACUGCAUUUUCCCAUUUGAAACAAAUGAUUUCUCACCAGAUAUAAUAUAAACUAAGGAUUUUAUAAGGCCUAAUUAUUUUAUUUUUAGCCAAACUGAUUAUGCAGAUUUAUAGGAUCUAAUUAUAUAAUUAAUGUGAAAACACAAAAAAAUAAUUGAUCUAGGGCAAUAGACAAACAGCACUGUUAUACAACUCAGUAACUAGAAAAACAUUGAGAGAAGGAAUUUGGAAGAAAAAUAUUUAUGUAUAUGUCCAAAUUAAUGAACCUCUUUUACUGAUCUGUAGGAUCAGUACUAUGGAAACUGUCCUGCCUGUUAUCUCUGUUACAUCAUGAUAUAUAUAUUAAAAAAAAAAAAACAGAGAGAGAGAGGGGGGGGGGGGGAGAGGAAGAAGAAGGAUCAAUGAGUAGGCAACUUAAUUAAUUAAUAGUCAUAUAUGGUCUAAAUAUAAUGCAAUGAACACAAAUACAAUGCAAAAGUCAUGAAAACUAGAAGGUAUUAAUUUAUAUAUUUUUUGGAAUGAAGAUAUUAAUUUUGGAAAAUAUUAAGGUCUAACAAUGAAGAUAUUAAUUUUGGAAAAUCUUCUCAUACCUCUAUCUAAAACUACACCUUUCUUCGAGGGCCAUAAUUUUAAGGAUUAAUUAAUUUAAAAAUCUCUUAUAAGAUUUUGAAAAUUGAUAAUAAUAGGAACUAAAUUAAUUAGUUUUACAACAGAGAAAAUUCUGGUGUUGUCCGAACAUAUAUCUUUAAUUAAGAUCUUCAUAUUCAUGAUCUUGUUAAUUACAUUAAACUCAUAAACAUAAAUGAGAUACAUGAAUAAUAAAAUUUGAACAAAAUACGAUUUUAUUAUAUGAGACUUAUAGAAACUUAAUUAUAUAGAAUUCAUAAAUAAAGAAACAUAAGCAAUAUACAUACAUACAUACAUACAUACAUACAUACAUACAUACAUACAUACAUACAUACAUACAUGACACACACAACUAAUACAUUAAUUUGAAUUAGUUAUCUCAUAUCAAUAUUGUAACAACUCUUACAUCAAACUUAGAAAAACUUUUAAGAUAUCUCAUGUCAUUGUCUACAAUUUUUAUCUUCCUUCACAUCAAGCUUACAAAAGCUUGCAUACAAAUCCAUAAAUAAUAAAAUCUAAAUAAAUGACGAACUCAUUACAUCGCACUUACAAGAAUGUCACGGGGUUAAUUUUUCAUUCCAAAAAUAGAUCUUGUGCGACAGUCUAGUCUCAUCAGAUUCAGCCUUUCCCUCACUGAUUUACUCGUGUUUUGCCUACAACUAGUUUGUCCCACAAACUCAAGAGAUUACCCACACUUUUUCAAUAUUACAAGCACACAGAAUAACACAAAUAAAUAGAAGCAGAAUGCACAACCCAAACAACCAAAAAUGUCAAGCACCUAUGUAAGAUUUUCAUAUCAUUUUACAUCAAACUUGAGAUUCUAAAAUAAUAAAAUCUGAAUAAUUUAAAGAUAUCUCAUACUGCCCUCUAAUUUUUCUUAUCUAUCUUUAUAUCAAACGUUUUUUAAAAAUCUUGCAUGGAAUCUAUAAAUUAUAAAUUUGAACAAAAGACAGUUCUGUUACAUAAGAUCUAUAUAAAAUCUAAAUAAAAGACUGUCCAUUAAUAUCAUUCCUACAGACAUUUGUAUGGGAUUCAUAAAUAAUAAGAUUUAAAACAAAUUUUAUGUGCAACAAAUAUAUAAAUUUAAAGUUAUCAUAUACCAUUGUCUUAAAUUCUUUCAUCUCCCUUUACAUCAAACUUACAAACACUUGCAUGGAAUCAUAAAUAAUAAAAUCUGAAGAGAAGUUGAUAUUGUGACAUUGGAAUUACAAAUUUAUAUACAUGCAAAAUUUUUAAAUAAUAAAUUUAAACAAGAAAAGAUAUGUAUAUCAAAUAUAUCAAUUCAUUUUUAUCUCAAACUACUCUUCAAAACCGUUUAUCUCCCUUGCAUUAGACUUCCUCAAACUUAAAUGAGAUCCAUAUGAACAAAAAAUUAUCCCAUUAUAUUAUAUUUAUAAACACUUAUAUAAGAAUCUUAUUUAGGUUUAUCUCAUUACGUUGGACUUCCAAACAUAAAUAUACGGAAUUUAUAAAUAAUGAAUCUAAACAAAAUAAGGCAUGUACAACAAAUAUAUCAAUUCAUUUUAUCUCAAACCAUUCUCUAAAAAAGUCAAUCUUUGUUGCUUUAAACUUACUUAAACUUAAAUGAGAUCCGUAAAUAAUGAGUUAUGAACAAAAAAUGAUCCUAUUAUAUUGGAUUUAUAAACACUUAUGUGAGAAUAUCAUUUAAGUUUAUCUCGUUACGUUGGACUUACAAAUAUAGAAAUGCGAAAUUUAUAAAUAAUGAAUCUGAACAAAAAAAGGCAUAUACAACAAAUAUAUCAAUUCAUUUUAUCUCAAACCACUCUCUAAAAAAAUUAAUCUCUUGUUGCUUUAAACUUACUCAAACUUAAAUGAGAUUCAUAAAUAAUGAGACAUGAACAAAAAAUAAUCAUAUUAUAUCGGAUUUAUAAAUACUUAUGUUAGAAUAUCAUUUAAGUUUAUCUCGUUAUGUUGAACUUACAAACAUGGAUAUGUUGAACUUACAAACAUGGACGUGGAAUUUAUAAAUAAUGAAUCUGAAGAAGAAAAGACAUGUACAACAAAUACAUCAAUUCAUUUUAUCUCAAACUUUCUAAAAAAGUUCAUCUCCCAUUGCUUUAAAUUUACACAAACUUAAAUGAUAUCCAUUAAUAAUGAGAUAUGAACAAAAAAUGAUCCUAUUAUAUCGGACUUAUAAACACUUAUGUGAGAAUAUCAUUUAAGUUUAUCUCGUUACGUUGGACUUACAGAUAUAGAUAUAUGAAAUUUAUAAAUAAUAAAUCUGAACAAAAAAGUUAUGCACAACAACUAUAUCAAUUCAUUUUUAUCUCAAACACUCUCUAAAAAAGUUCAUCUCCCGUUGCUUUAAACUUACUCAAACUUAAAUGAGAUAUGAACAAAAAAUAAUCCUAUUAUAUCUUAUUUAUAAACACUUAUGUGAGAAUAUCAUUUAAGUUUAUCUCGUUAUGUUGGACUUACAAACAUAGAUAUGCUGAAUUUAUAAAUAAUGAAUCUGAACAAGAAAAGACAUGUACAACAAAUAUAUCAAUUCAUUUUAUCUCAAACUUUCUAAAAAAGUUCAUCUCCCAUUGCUUUAAAUUUACACAAACUUAAAUGAGAUCCAUUAAUAAUGAGAUAUGAACAAAAAAUGAUCCUAUUAUAUCGGAUUUAUAAAUACUUAUGUGAGAAUAUCAUUUAAAUUUAUCUCGUUAUGUUGGACUUACAAACAUAGAUAUGUUGGAUUUAUAAAUAAUGAAUCUAAACAAGAAAAUGUAUAUACAACAAUUAAAUAUAUUAAUUCAUUUUUAUCUCAAACCACUCUCUAAAAGCAUUUAGCUCCCGUUGCUUUAAACUUACUCAAACUUAAAUGAGAUAUGAAUAAAAAAUGAUCCCAUUAUAUCGGAUUUAUAAACACUUAUGUGAGAAUAUCAUUUAAGUUUAUCUCGUUAUGUUGGACUUACAGAUAUAGAUAUAUGGAAUUUAUAAAUAAUAAAUUUGAACAAAAAAAGUUAUGUACAACAAAUAUAUCAAUUCAUUUUUAUCUCAAACACUUUCUAAAAAAGUUCAUCUCUCUUUGCUUUGAACUUACUCAAAAUUAAAUGAGAUAUGAACAAAAAAUGAUCUUAUUAUAUCAGAUUUAUAAAUAUUUAUGUGAGAAUAUCAUUUAAGUUUAUCUCGUUAUUUUGGACUUACAAACAUAGAUAUGUUGAAUUUAUAAAUAAUGAAUCUAAACAAGAAAUAGUAUAUACAACAAAUAUAUUAAUUCAUUUUUAUCUCAAACCACUCUCUAAAAACAUUUAGCUCCCGUUGCUUUAAACUUACUCAAACUUAAAUGACAUCCAUAAAUAAUGAGAUAUGAAAAAAAAUCCUAUUAUAUCAUAUUUAUAAACACUUAUGUGAGAAUAUCAUUUAAGUUUAUCUCGUUACGUGGACUUACAAAUAUAGAUAUUUAAAAUUUAUAAAUAAUGAAUCUGAACAAGAAAAGGUAUGUACAACAAAUAUAACAAUUCAUUUUUAUCCCAAACCACUCUCUAAAAAAGUUCAUCUCCCGUCAAUUUAAACUUACUUAAACUUAAAUGAGAUAUGAAUAAAAAAUGAUCCCAUUAUAUCGGAUUUAUAAACACUAAUGUGAGAAUCUCAUUUAAGUUUAUCUUGUUAAGUUGAACUUACAAACAUAGAUAUGUGGAAUUUAUAAAAAAUGAAUCUGAAUAAGAAAAGGUAUGUACAACAAAUAUAACAAUUCAUUUUUAUCCCAAACCACUCUCUAAAAAAGUUCAUCUCCCGUCAAUUUAAACUUACUUAAACUUAAAUGAGAUAUGAAUAAAAAAUGACCCUAUUAUAUCGGAUUUAUAAACACUUAUGUGAGAAUCUCAUUUAAGUUUAUCUUAUUUUGUUGGACUUACUCAUCUCCUGUUGCUUUAAACUUACUCAAACUGAAAUGAGAUAUGAACAAAAAAUGAUCUCAUUAUAUGGGAUUUAUAAACACUUAUGUGAGAAUCUCAUUUAAGUUUAUCUCGUUAAGUUGGACUUACAAACAUAGAUAUGCGAAAUUUAUAAAUGAUGAAUCUGAACAAGAAAAGGUAUGUACAACAAAUAUAUAUACUUAUUAUUUUAUUUAUUUUUAUUUCAAACCACUCUCUAAAAAGUUCAUCUCCCGUUAUACUAAAUUUACUAAAACUUAAAUGAGAAUCAUAAAUAAUUAAAUAUGAACAAAAAAAAUCAUAUUAUAUCAAAUUUAUAAACACUUUUAUUGGAUUCAUAUUUAUGGGAUUCAUAUAAAGGAAACUUGAACAAAAUACUUAUGUACAACAAAUAAAUUAAAUUAAAGUUAUCUCAUAUAAGUGUUUAAAAUUUUCUUCUCUUAAUCUAUCAGUUAAUCUUACAAACACUGACAUGGGAUCUAUAAAUAAUCUAAACAAAAUAAGAUCCUAUUAUAUCGGAUUUAUAAACACUAUUAUGAGAUUUCUAUAUAGGAAAUCUAAACAUAAUAUGUUUAUACAACAUAUAUAUUAAAUUAAAGUUUUCUCAUACAACCAUCUAAGAUUUUCUUCUUAUGAUUGAUCAUUCAAUCUUAUAAACAUUUAUAUGGAAUCCAUAAAUAAUCUUAACAAAAGACGAUAUCUUUUUAUCGGAUUUAUAAACAUUUUUAUGAGAUUCAUAUAUAAAAAAUUUGAACAGAAUACAUAUGUACAAUGAAUAUAUUAAAUCAAAGUUAUUUGAAAUAAUUAUUUAGAAUUUUCUCUCAUGAUCAAUCAAUCCGUCUUUUAAACACUUAUAUGAGAUCCAUAAAUAAUUUGAAUAAAAGACGAUCCCAUUAUAUCAUAUUUAUAUAAACUUUUAUGAGGUUUAUAUUUAGGAAAUCUAAACAUAAUGCGUAUAUAUGUACAACACAUAUAUUAAAUUAAAAUUCUCUCAUGCAACUAUCUAAAAUUCUCUUCUUAUGAUCAAUUGAUCAAUCUUACAAAUAUUUAUAUGAGAUUCAUAAAUAAUAUGAGCAAAAAAUAAACCCAUUAUAUUGGAUUUAUGAACACUUUUAUGAGAUUCAUUUAUAGAAAAUCUAAACAAUUACAUGCGUACAACAAAUAUAUUAAAAUAAAGUUAUCUCAUACAACUAUCUAAAAUUUUAUUCUUAUGAUCGAUCGAUCAAUCUUACAAAUACUUAUAUUGAAUUCCUAAAUAAUCUGAGCAAAAAAUAAUCCCAUCAUAUUGGAUUCAUUAACACUUUUAUGGGAUUCAUAUAUAGGAAAACUAAAUAAAAUAUGUAUUUAAAACAUAUAUUAAAUUAAAGUUAUUUCAUGCACAUUCUCAUAAUCGACGUUGAGAUUUUCCUCAUUGAGUCGACGUUGAUAUUGCUCAUUUUCAAAAAAUAUAAGAAAAAACAAAAAAAUCAAAAUUUUACAAAAAACAAAAGUUGAGGGACCAAUUUUGAGGGCCAAACAACAUUUUGCCUAUAAAUAGUUGCCUUCAACACACACCAAAAAGGGGGAAUUUUGAACUUUUGGGGGGAGAAAAAUUGAAAAGGGGAGGGGGGCCGAUUUGAAAAAAGGAAAUAACAAGGAAACCCUAAAUCUUCCUUAGCGCUGUUUCGGCCUGCAGAAGGGCUUCCCUGUAAUUUCAGAUUGUUUUGGGGAUAUUAUUGUAAUUGUAACGUAAUUUUUGUUUAUUUUUUUUGAAUUUGUAUUUUGUAUUGUGGAUGUAAAAAAAAAGGAAAAUAAAAGAAAAGAAAAGAAACAAAAAAAUAUAGGAAAAGUGAAUGUGUGUGUUUGUAUUUGUUUUAUUUUUUAUAUGUAUAUUUUUUUUAUGAUAAAACUGCAAAGAUUAAAGAAGAAUCUAAUAUUUUGAUUGGAUCACGGUCAAGAAUUAUUAACUUAUACGCAAGUUGUAUUUCUAAUACCCGAUGAAAAGACAAAAAUUUUAAAACUUCUUUAACACGUCAAAGUCACGAAGCAGCUUACCUCAGGUAGGGUGCGUUAGGGGUGCUAAUACCUUCCCUAACCACAACCAGUCCCUUACCCGCGAAUCUCUGACAAGACCAGUACAUCCGGUUUCCUAGUAGCCUUCAAUAAAUUACUAGGUGGCGACUCCAACGAACCAAUCAAAGCAAUCAACAUAAAGAAAAAAAUCGCCAGCCGAUGCCGCGCGGAUUUGACGUGCGACAGAAUGGCGACUCCACUGGGUAAGGUAUUGUUUUCGACAUUAUUGGACUAAGUUUUGUGUAUUUGAUGUGUUUUUGUUUUUGCAUUUUUGUCUUAUUUUAUUUUUGUUUUAUCCAUGCAUUUUGUAGAAUUGUCUCAUGCAUCACAUAUUGUAAUUUUUUAAAGCACACACAAGCUUCAGGUUAGGUGGGGGACUAGUAGCUUACCUUACGACUUUUAGUCAAGGUUUAAGUUUGUGUAAACCCCAACUCUUCGUUGAGUGCUUAGACUGGUAACAGUUGGUACACAUGUCAUCUCAUUGCCUACUGGGCCCCUAUAUUGCCUUCAAGAGGGUGAUCACUAGGACAACGAGAGACCCUUUUGAGACCAGGUAGAAAACCUACCCAUGUUCACAUAAUGAAUAGAACAUGUCCUUAGAUUGUAUGUGCUAUCUUUAUUUACAUCAGGGCAAACCCUUCUUGAAGCAUCUUGAACUCAAGACUUGUGGGUGACACAAUGACCGUCACUCAGAAAAUUUUCAUUGUAGAGUUUGGGCAAGAAUCAAGAUUCUUGUUUCAUCAUGCAAGAGUUACGAUCAUAUGUCACCCCUCGAAGGGCAAGUUCAUCAUAUAGAUUGCAUGUUCAUACAUUUAUCAUGCAUGUAUCGGGAUGAAAAAUAGGUUCCCCUAUCCGAGGUUUACUACACUGGAUGGAAAAAGAUGGAUAAUAAAGAAAGGGGUCAGAGAGAGGCACUGUGUCAAAAGGAAGUUGAGAGCAUCAAAGGUGAAGUAGCUAGACUCAGAUCUGUUUGAACAAGUGUUAAGCAUUAAAUGGAAAGGGAAUGUCUGCACAGUCUUUUAUGGGAACACUGCUUGUCCACGUCCAAUUGAAGCUGCACCUCUCCUCUUCAGCCAUGAACUACAGCAGCAAUGCCUUCAGUCAUCAACUAAGGACAACCCUUGUUCUUAUUCAGUUGCACUGUUAAUUGUUCAUCGCCUCCACAUCUUCUAAUGGCACCAAUAGCUGUUAGCCUUCUGUGCAUGGUGCAUUAGUCUUCUUUGAAAUUACCCCCACUUUGAGCUCAAUUCCAGUUCAGCGACAUAGGAUGCUGGUCUUAAAAAAAAAACCAUGAUUAUACAUUGAACUUCUAUGUGGCAGAGCUUUCUCUGUAAGGAUUUGUUUUUUAAUCUGCCAGUGGAGAAUGCAAGAGAGGAUGUAGUAGUUUCAUAUGCAUUGAAACUUUCUCCCACCAAUGGCACCAGUAAAACAUUGUAGUAGGCAGAAGAGCCGGACCCGGUCUGAAAAACAUGAGCAGACAUCAAACUUCAACGUGGCAGAGCUCUCUCGACAGAAAUCUGUUUGUGAAUCUGCAAGUGGGAAAUCCAAGAAAGGAUGUGGUAGUUUCAGAUCAUCUAUAAUCUUCUCCCACCAGUGUCAGCAUUGAAAUACAGAAGUAGGGAGAAAAGACAAACCUGGACUAAACAACAUGAAGAAGACUGAAACUUUAACAGAACUCCCUUUACAGGGGGCUAUUUGCUGCACCGUUAGUGAGGAAUCAAAGAGGAAAUAGAAGAGUUUUCAAUUCAUCAGGUUCUCUUCUAGUUUGGACAAUGUGUGAUUCCCCACAUUUUUUUGUUUUUGUGCGCUGCCAGGAUUACCUAGCUAUUGAGAGGUUUCCAGCAAUCCUAAAACAAUAACAACAACAAAAACAACAACAACAACAACAUUGAAAGAUUGACAUGAAGUUGGGUGGAUUGCCAAAAAUAUUGAACAAGUUAUCAAGAUGAGAAAGAUUGAAGGUUCUGCCAUGUAUUCCAAAAAUGAUGAGAGAUGAAUCAGAAGAUGACUUUAAAGGUGGGAAACCUUAGUUAUGAGGUCCAGUCAGAUCUCGCUCAAGCAUCAACUACUCCAAUGUCUUUGCCAAAGAUAGACAUUUCCUUUGCAAUGUGAGUUUAUUUACCAGCAUCUGCCAGAUUCCAGACUUAGUGCCCCGACUCCAUCAAAUCCCAUGCAAUCACUAUUUUCCUAGGUGAUAUAAUCCAAACAUGAGAUUUGAAUAUCAUGGGGGGGAUUUCAGGCUAUUCAGUUGAACAAUUGCAAGAAUCGAGUCCGGAAGUUGGUGGGCAAGAGACGACUAGAUUCUGUGAAGGAGGGUGUCAUUGGCUAUAUUGUCCCCCGAACAUCUUUAGAAUGAAAUGUGAUCGAAAAUGCUUGGCAAAACACAGAUAUUGCAAGAAAAGCUUAUUCAAGAAUGGCGAUGAAUUGUCAAUCAUAUUGUUAUGGAAUUUUGCAUUUUGUUUUGGGAUCAGAUCUCAUCCUUUAACGAAACAUGUCUUGUUUUUGUCUCUUUGUUGUUUUGAAAUCAACAGAUGUUUAGCAUUUUAUUCUGACAAAAUAUUUUGAUCAAACUCCAACAUGUGAGAAAGGUUAAUCAAUCCUAAAGAUUAAAAGUGUUUUGAUUACAGAAAUGACUCGAUGCUUGAAAAAACAAGAGGUGACCGAACAAAUUUUGAGCUCACACACAAAAUUGAACCAUACAUCAUAUAGCUAAGUUUUAGUAGUAUGCAUAAUGACAUGUAGUGGAUUCGAUAGUUAUGGACUCGUGAAUCAUGAUUCUUACAAGUCCCAAUUAUUACACUGGAUGAGGUCAAAAAUUAUCGGUUUUAACCGACCCUGCUUGAAAUGAGAAAAGGCCAUUUUUGUUAUCCCUUCACUUUCUAAAGAUUAUAUCCCUUGUAGUCCCAUUUUGAGCUGGAUAGAAUAUUCUUUCCAUAAAAACCCUGACUAGGAUCGCACCCCACACUGGGGGCAAAUGAGAGAUAUUUUGAAGACAUUGAUAUAAUUAAUGGAUAAAGGAGAAGGCUUAGAACAAAAGUCCAAUGAUUGAGAGAGGGUUGAAAGAAAACACAUAGACUGGGGGCAUAUAAGAAAAUUUUGAGGAAGGCUAUGAGAAAGCAAAAAAAAAAAAAAAAAAGAAAAAAAAAGAAAAAAAAAAGAUUGGAAAGAAUAAGAAGUUGAAAUUGCCUUCACUUGAAGACAAGUCAAAGAUAAAGGAAGGAGAACGCCUAUCAAGUCUAUGAAGAGCAAAAUAAAUUUCAAUCAAGGAAAGGCACAACAAAAGUCAAUAGCAGAAAAAAGACUAAGUUAUAAACGUGACUUUUGGUAUCCAUUAUAAAGCCUCUGAUGUUAUCAGAUAAUUAAGGUUGGUUAUUCAUCAAGGAAAGUUGGAUUUGCAUUAUGACUUAUGUUAAGAAAAUUCUGAUCUUUGAUAUUAACAAGGUUAUAUGUCACUUUCUCUACAAUGACAACAAGAGAAAGACAGUUGAUGAAUAGUUGAUGUUGAUCCUAGGUCUUUGAAACACUCGAACACCUUUUGAGCCUGUGAAUUUCCUUUCUUUCAUAAGCCAUGAACCAUAGUCUGCAUUACGUGCUUUUAAAAGCCCUUUUUAAUCAAGUAAGCAAGCUGAAGCGAUAAAUGGCGAUCUCAAAACUUGAAGAGUUUUUCAUAAGAGUCGUGGCUUCAUAGAUUAAGCUACUUGUUAUUAUAUAUGCUGAUAAAAUUGUUGCUAAAAAAAAAAGAAAACAAUCUUUCCUGAUGAAUCCUCAAGUUUUGACUUGAGCCUUUUGUUUUCCUUGAAAUUUACAGAAGGUCAUCUCAUCAUAGACCAUCAAAAAAGAUAUACCCAAGAUCAAAGAUUAAAACUGACACAAAGAACCAUGAAAAAAAAAGGAAAAGAAAAAGCCAUUUUAGUCUUACAACGGGUCAAUUUCUGUUUACAAAAUACAUGACAAUCAAAGGACUGUAUAUUUCGAAUAACGCGUGUUGGGUCUUUGAUCAAAAAGCUUGAUUUUCAAAAGGUCUUUUCAAAAAAGGACAUCUCUGAUUUCAUUUCAACAACUAGAUUUGAAUAGACAAGAUCUUUGAAAUAUGAGAGUUGAUUCCAAAACAAGGAAGAUUAUCAGACACAAAAGAACAUCGAUUGAGUCUGCGAAAUCCUUGAUAGAAAUGACAUUGAAGUCCUCGACACUCCUUGAAAAUUUGAGCAGCUGGGGGCAAUACAGUGGACCCUGAAAAGGAAAAAACAAGUAGUAUUCAGAUCAGCUAUGAGGCAAUGAAAGAUGAUUAAAUGAUGAGUCAGUGAACUGAAGACAAUGGUGUUCAAAGAAAGAUAAUCAGAUGAACAAGCAAACUCAGAUCAUAUUGGGGGCAAUGUUGGUCAAAGACAAUCCCAUCAGCAAUUGAUGAGCAGCGUUGCACUUAAAGGAUAUCUUCAUAUCUUCAUCUUGGUUUAUCAUCUCCAACAUGGCUACGACUUUUGAACGACGUUAUCACAUAGUCACAUUUGAAUGAAGUUGGAAGGAUGCACCCACCAAGACUGACUAUGGUACCUGUUGCUACCCAAUUUUUAACCCAUGUUUUGAUAAUUUUUCAGAAAAAACCAAAAAUAGCAAAAAAACAAUGAAAACCCAAAAAAAUGCAUUUUUGAUAUAUUUGCAUCGUUUUUAGCAUUUUCAACGUCAUCUCAAAAGAAUUUAAAUUUUCAAAGGUAUUUGGAACGCGUUCAACUUUUAACGUGUAAAUUUUAUGAUCACUGAUUUUCCUUGUUGAGUUGACGUUGAUAUUGCUCGCUUUCAAAAAUACAAAAAAAUAAGAAAAAUCAAAAUUUACAAAAAAAGAGGAAAAGAGAAGGAAAGGAAAAGUUGAGGGACUAGUUUGAAAACCUAGCAAAACUUUUCCUAUAAAUACCAUGCUACACUGAAUUUUUAAAAGGGGGGAAAUUUUGCAAUUAAAGGGGGCAGGGAACACAAAAACAAGAAACCCUAAAAGCUUAACAUUUUUUCUUCUCCCUCACCCUAGGCAGCCGCCGAAGCCCCCCUCUCCAUCUCAUUGUCUUCUCCCUCAACCGGAGCCGCCACCCCCCCUCUUGAUCAGAUUUUUCUCUUCUUCUCGCCAGCCUAGAGCUUGGCUCUUUGGACUGCACACAAGCCUCCCCUUCUCAGCCACCUCGUCUUUCCCUCUCCAGGCGGCUCAACUUUUCCCCCCAUUUCCUCUCAUCACCGUCCCAGCUGUUCCCUUCCAGCACAAGACUUUCCCUCUCUGGCAACACAGACAGAGACUGGCUUCUGCACCUCCCCACAGCAGCCGGCCACUACAUUUCUCUCAGCCGUUUGUCGCCGCCAGCAGCAGCAGCGUUGUCCUCACCAGUGAGCCACCAGCCCCCACACGGCAACGCCGGGGCACCACUCUUCUUCAUCUUCUGCAUGCUAAUAAAAUUGGUGCUAAAAAAAAGAAAACAAUCUUUCUUGAUGAAUCCUCAAGUUUUGACUUGAGCCUUUUGUUUCUUGAAAUCCACAGAAGGUUACCUCAUCGCAGGCCAUCAAAAGAUAUACCUAAGAUCAAAGAUUAAAACUGACACAAAGAACCACGAAAAAAGUCAUUUUAAUCUUACAACGGGUUAUUUCUGUCUUCAAAAUACAAGACAAUUAAAGGACUUCAUUGAAUGGCGUGUGUUGGAUCUUUGACCAAACAAGCUUGAUUUCUAAAAAUACUUUUCAAAAUUGACAUCUCUCUGAUUUCAUUUCAACAAUUAGACUUGAUUAGACAUGACCGUUGAAAUAUGAGAUUUGAUUCCAGAACAAGAAAGAUUGUCAAAUAAGAACAUCGAGCGAAUUUGCAAAAUCCUUGACAAGAAUGACAUCAACAUUUCUCGACACUCCUUGAAAAGUUGACCACCUGGGGGCAAUACAGUGGAUCCUGGGUAGGAAAACAAACAAUAUUCAGAUCAGCUGGGGGCAAUCAAAGAUGAUCAAAUGAUGAGUCAAUGCACUGAGGACAAUAGUGUUUAAAGAAAGCUAGUCAGCAGGACAAGCAUUCAGAUCAUUACUGGGGGCAAUGUUGUUCAAAGACAGUCAGUGAUUUAGUAAACUUCAGCAGCAAUUGAUGAGUAACGCUACAAUUGAAGGGCAUAUUAUUAUCGUCAGCUUGGGUUACCCUCUAAAACGUGGCUAUGACUUCUGACAUAUGUUAUCAAGUGAGUGCAUUUGAAUGAACAUCGAACAUAUGCAUACCACCAAGAGUGACUGUGGGACCAUCUAUUCUGAAGCUCAAAUGCGCACUUCACCGCAUGAAUAUGGGUGAUGAACAUCAUUGAUGAUGCCAAUGCAUUUCCUUUCAUGAUCUGAUUUGACAAGCUGAGAGGAAUCCGUGGAGAAGAACAUUGAGCUUACAACGAUGAGCCUUUUACUGCAAGGUAUGAGAUGUAUGUCUGGACGACUAGAUGAUUUCCAUGAAGACUGGUGAUAACAUAUACUUGAAGAGUAUUGUUUCAACUUGAGGCAAGUUUAUGACUGGUUGACAAUCUUGAUGGGUGUUGGCAUGAGGCACACAAUCAAUCAGAGGGUAAUUCUUAGAAGAAUCCAAAAGAGAAAAUUCUUCAUGAUAAAUCAAGCAACACCACACUUGGGGGCAUGGUUAAGCUUGAUAAACAGCGAGAGCAGUAAUCGUCGUGGACAGCCCAGGAUGGGCACUGCACUUACAGCUGAGUGGAUGGCUAGCACAUGAAUGAGCCAAUGCAUCGAAAGAACAAAUAAAGCUUUGGAAUGCAAACAAAGGCACCCUAUGACGAUGGAUCAUCAAAGGGGGGGACCUAUAUUUCACAUCAGGUAAGGAUGCAUGCAUGUCAUCUAACCUCAAAGCAUUGCACCUACUUGUGAUUUGUUACAGAAAGAUUCUCAAUGAAGUCCAGCAAGAUUGUGGACAAAGAAAGAAUCAUUGAGUUGAGGAUGACAAAGAAUCGGUUUAGAUACUGGAACGAGAAGAGAAUGAGAUGAACCCUGCCAGUUGGAGAAUCUCAAAGAAACGAGGAGAUUAACCCCAUCAUCAAGAGGAGUCUUCAAGUCAACCUGCAACCAGAAGGUGCCAAGUUUGUCAGCCUUGUCCUGUCAGGACUGCUCCAACCAAGUCUUUUUGCCAGGUAAGUCACAUUUUAUCUUUAGGUAGGUCACCCGUAACAAUGAGACCAUUUUUUUUAAAAAAAAAAACAUCAUUUUUUCUGGGUAGGUCACCCAUCAGAAUGAGACCACCAUCUUCCACCUGGGUAGGUCACCCAUUAUAACGCGACCACUUCACAUUUUUUCUAUCUUCCACUUGGGUGGGUUGCCCAUUAUAAUGAGACCACCUUUCAUCAUUUUUCUGGGUAGGUCACCCAUCAUAAUAAGACCAUCAUUUUUUUCUGGGUAGGUCACCCAUUAUAAUGAGACCGCACUUCACAUUCUUUCCAUUUGGGUAGGUCACCCAUAACAAUGAGACCACUUCAUAUUUUUUCUAUCUUCCAUCUGGGUAGGUCGCCCAUUAUAAUGAGACCGCAGUUCACAUUCUUUCCAUUGGGGUAGGUCACCCAUCAUAAUGAGACCGUUUUUCACAUUCUUUCCACCUGGGUAGUUCACCCAUUACAAUGAGACCAUUUUGUUACACAUAUUCUUUGUUUUGGUUUAAUGAGGUCGCUAGAUGGGAUCUCAUGUAGCUUUGGUUAAAGGAAAUCGCCAGAUGAGAUUUCAGGUUGACCGAGUUACGCACAUUUUUUAGUUUUGAUUUAAUGAGGUCGCCAGAUGGGAUCUCAUGUAGCUUUGGUUAAAGGGAAUCGCCAGAUGGGAUUUCAGGUUGACCGAGUUACACUUUUCUUUGUUUUAAUGAGGUCGCCAGAUGGGAUCUCAUGUAGCUUUGGUUAAAGGAAAUCGCCAGAUGGGAUUUCAGGUUGACCGAGUUACACACUUUUUUUGUUAGUUUUGACUGAAUGAGGUCGCCAGAUGGGAUCUCAUGUAGCUUUGGUUAAAGGAAAUCGCCAGAUGGGAUUUCAGGUUGACCGAGUUACGCACUUUUCUUUGUUUUGGUUUAAUGAGGUCGCCAGAUGGGAUCUCAUGUAGCUUUGGUUAAAGGAAAUCGCCAGAUGGGAUUUCAGGUUGACCGAGUUACACACUUUUCUUUGUUUUGGUUUAAUGAGGUUGCCAGAUGGGAUCUCAUGUAGCUUUAGUUAAAGGAAAUCGCCAGAUGGGAUUUCAGGUUGACCGAGUUACGCACUUUUCUUUGUUUUGGUUUAAUGAGGUCGCCAGAUGGGAUCUCAUGUAGCUUUGGUUAAAGGAAAUCGCCAGAUGGGAUUUCAGGUUGACCGAGUUACGCACUUUUCUUUGUUUUGGUUUAAUGAGGUCGCCAGAUGGGAUCUCAUGUAGCUUUGGUUAAAGGAAAUCGCCAGAUGGGAUUUCAGGUUGACCGAGUUACGCACUUUUCUUUGUUUUGGUUUAAUGAGGUCGCCAGAUGGGAUCUCAUGUAGCUUUGGUUAAAGGAAAUCGCCAGAUGGGAUUUCAGGUUGACCGAGUUACGCACUUUUCUUUGUUUUGGUUUAAUGAGGUCGCCAGAUGGGAUCUCAUGUAGCUUUGGUUAAAGGAAAUCGCCAGAUGGGAUUUCAGGUUGACCGAGUUACGCACUUUUUUUUUUAGUUUUGACUGAAUGAGGUCGCCAGAUGGGAUCUCAUGUAGCUUUGGUUAAAGGAAAUCGCCAGAUGGGAUUUCAGGUUGACCGAGUUACGCACUUUUCUUUGUUUUGGUUUAAUGAGGUCGCCAGAUGGGAUCUCAUGUAGCUUUGGUUAAAGGAAAUCGCCAGAUGGGAUUUCAGGUUGACCGAGUUACGCACUUUUCUUUGUUUUGGUUUAAUGAGGUCGCCAGAUGGGAUCUCAUGUAGCUUUGGUUAAAGGAAAUCGCCAGAUGGGAUUUCAGGUUGACCGAGUUACGCACUUUUCUUUGUUUUGAUUCAAUAAGGUCGCCAGAUGGGAUCUCAUGUAGCUUUGGUUAAAGGAAAUCGCCAGAUGGGAUUUCAGGUUGACCGAGUUAUGCACUUUUCUUUGUUUUGGUUUAAUGAGGUCGCCAGAUGGGAUCUCAUGUAGCUUUGGUUAAAGGAAAUCGCCAGAUGGGAUUUCAGGUUGACCAAGCUAAACACAUUUUUUUAGUUCCAGUUUAACGAGGUCGCCAGAUGGGAUCUCAUGUGGCUUUGGUUAAAGGGAAUCGCCAGAUGGGAUUUCAGGUUGACCGAGCUCCACAUUUGUUUUUAGUUCCAGUUGAAUGAGGUCGCCAGAUGGGAUCUCAUGUAGCUUUGGUUAAAGGGAAUCGCCAGAUGGGAUUUCAGGUUGACCAAGCUACACACAUUUUUUAGUUCCAGUUUAAUGAGGUCGCCAGAUGGGAUCUCAUGUAGCUUUGGUUAAAGGAAAUCGCUAGAUGGGAUUUCAGGUUGACCGAGUUACACACUUUUUUUUUUAGUUUUGACUGAAUGAGGUCGCCAGAUGGGAUCUCAUGUAGCUUUGGUUAAAGGAAAUCGCCAGAUGGGAUUUCAGGUUGACCGAGUUACGCACAUUUUUUAGUUUUGAUUUAAUGAGGUCGCCAGAUGGGAUCUCAUGUAGCUUUGGUUAAAGGGAAUCGCCAGAUGGGAUUUCAGGUUGACCGAGCUACACACAUUUUUUUAGUUUCAGUUGAAUGAGGUCGCCAGAUGGGAUCUCAUGUGGCUUUGGUUAAAGGGAAUCGCCAGAUGGGAUUUCAGGUUGACCGAGCUACACACAUUUUUUUAGUUCCAGUUGAAUGAGGUCGCCAGAUGGGAUCUCAUGUGGCUUUGGUUAAAGGGAAUCUCCAUAUGGGAUUUUAGGUUGACCGAGCUACACACAUUCUUUGGUUUUGGGAAAGGAGAUCGCCAGAUGGGAUCUCAAGAUAACAAAAAAAAAAAGGAGAGAGAAAGAAAGAAAGAAAUAAAGAAGAGGAAGAAAAGAGAAGGAAGAGAGAACAGAGAAAAAGAGCAAGGUCUUUAGAUGAAUGGAUAUUGAGCAAGUUAAGCAGACAGAAAGACAAGUUUUUCUUUACAAAGCUUACUAUGCAAAACAUUGAGGAGUUUGGCUUCGUAAGCAUUGUAAAGAGGGGGCAGCUGUUGCUACCCAAUUUUUGACCCAUGUUUUGAUAAUUUUUCAGAAAAAACCAAAAAUAGCAAAAAAACAAUGAAAACCCAAAAAAAUGCAUUUUUGAUAUAUUUGCAUCGUUUUUAGCAUUUUCAACGUCAUCUCAAAAGAAUUUAAAUUUUCAAAGGUAUUUGGAACGCGUUCAACUUUUAACGCGUAAAUUUUAUGAUCACUGAUUUUCCUUGUUGAGUUGACGUUGAUAUUGCUCGCUUUCAAAAAUACAAAAAAAAUAAGAAAAAUCAAAAUUUACAAAAAAAGAGGAAAAGAGAAGGAAAGGAAAAGUUGAGGGACUAGUUUGAAAACCUAGCAAAACUUUUCCUAUAAAUACCAUGCUACACUGAAUUUUUAAAAGGGGGGCAAUUUUGCAAUUAAAGGGGGCAGGGAACACAAAAACAAGAAACCCUAAAAGCUUAACAUUUUUUCUUCUCCCUCACCCUAGGCAGCCGCCGAAGCCCCCCUCUCCAUCUCACUGUCUUCUCCCUCAACCGGAGCCGCCACCCCCCCUCUUGAUCAGAUUUUUCUCUUCUUCUCGCCAGCCUAGAGCUUGGCUCUUUGGACUGCACACAAGCCUCCCCUUCUCAGCCACCUCGUCUUUCCCUCUCCAGCCGGCUCAACCUUUCCCCCCAUUUCCUCUCAUCACCGUCCCAGCUGUUCCCUUCCAGCACAAGACUUUCCCUCUCUAGCAACACAGACAGAGACCGGCUUCUGCACCUCCCCACAGCAGCCGGCCACUACAUUUCUCUCAGCCGUUUGUCGUCGCCAGCAGCAGCAGCGCUGUCCUCACCAGUGAGCCACCAGCCCCCACACGGCAACGCCGGGGCACCACUCUUCUUCAUCUUCUGCAACUGGCCUCCUGCCCGCCUUCUCCCUCCGGCAGCGCCCGCAGACCCAGCAGUCUCCAGCGACAGCCCCCAUACGGCGGCGCCCACAGAAUCCAGCCGCUGCUCACCUUCCUCCAGCCGCUCACAGAGACGCCCUGACCUCAGAGCCGUCCGCCACCUGCAGAAGGGAAGAACAGAAAACCAAAAGGAGAAGACAAGAGAGAGUAGAUAAAAAAAAAGGGGAAAAAGAAUUGGAAGCUUUGCAUGUGUGUUUUUCCCUUUGCAGGUAACGGUGGUUCUCACAGCCAGCAGAGAAGGGAAGGGAAGAAGAAAGCAGGGCAGAUCUGCCCAUUUCCGGUCAUUGUCAGUAGCGGCGCGUGUACCCACGCGCCGCAGUGGCGACGACGCGUGGGGAGACGCGCCGCUACUGUUCAGCCAGUUCCAUAAGUCUGUCUGACACUGUUCUGUUGGUGGAGAAGGCUAUCCCUGUAAUUUUAGAUUGUUUUGGGGCUAAUUUUUGUAAUGUAAAAAUUGUUUAAUGUAUUUUUUUGUUUAGUUGACUUUUUAUAAUUUGUAUUGUUGAUGUAACAAAAAAAAGAAAAAGAAAGAAAAAGAAAAGGAAAAGAAAGAAAAGAAAAGUAUAGUGAAAAGGAAAUGUGUGAUUUGUAUUUUGUUUAUGAAUGUUUUUUUUUGUAUGAUAAAAUUGUAAGAAUAAAGAAGAAUUUAAUAUUUUGAUUUGAUCACGGAUAAAGAAUUAUGAACUUACACGUAAGUCGUAUUUCUAAAAUUCGAUGAAAGAAC